rnacentral:lncRNA from 1 species
UUGGCCUUGUCCUUUCGGAUGAGCUUGCCACCAUUGUCUUCCCUCUUCUCAUAAGGACAUUCCGCAACAAAGUGGCUCACAUUUCCAUAAUUAUAGCACGUCCUCACUCGUUGCUUGACCUUCGCGCCACUUGAGUGGUUUUUGUUGAAGUUGGGCCUUGUGUUCUUCUUGCUCCAAAAUUGCCUUGAAGCAAGAGCCAUGUGUUCAUGAUAGGCAUACUUUGUAUCUUCGGGGUUGCUCUCCUCUUCUUCCUCUUCGUCCUCUUCUUCCACACUAACCUUAGCCUUCAAUGCAAGGUUGGGCUUCUUUGCUCUUUGAGAACGUAACACCGCAUUGUCGGCGGUCUUGUCCAAGAUGCUCAUAGCGACAAACUCAUCCAACACUUCACUUGAGGACAAGGUGUGGAAGUCCGGCCUUCGACGAAUGACGGAGGACAUUGCCUUGUGAUAAGGCAUCAUGGCCUUGAGGAAUUUGCGCUUGAUCCAAUUGUCAUCAGUAUCCUUGCUCCCAUGAUCUCGGAGUGAGACCGCAAGUUUGAUUAAUCUCCAAUAAAGCUCACGUGGUUCUUCAUCUUCUUUCAUGGCAAACUUAUUGGCUUCAUCUUGCACCACUUCAUAGUUGGAGCAUUGAAUGCUUGUGCUUCCCCUGUAAAGGGAAACAACAUGGUGCCAUGCAUCCUUGGCCAUGGUGAAGGGACGGAGAUGAGCAAGAUCUUCGGGCGAAAUUGCACCUUGGAUGAUGAAGAGAGCAUUCUCAUUGAAUUGAUUAUCCACGGCUUCUCUAGGGGUGAAGUUGCUUCGGUCAUGCGGAUAGAAACCUUCUUCAAUGAUUCUUCAAAGAUUAGUAUUCACAUGAUUUAAAUGAUGCUUAAAGUGAUAAACCCAAGAAUCAAAGUCCUCAUUUUUCACAAUCUUAGGGGGAGGACCGGCAUGAUUCAAAUGAGUGGAGGGAAUCGGUCCACCAUAAGUAAGCGGAAGUUCCACAUGGGCAAAGAUGUCGUUGCCAAUUUUACCACUAGAAGAAGGAUCCUUUUCACUAGCAGCUUCCCCCUUGUCAGAGUUAGCAUCCGUCACCUUGUUAGUGGGAUCACCCACUUUCAUUGGUGUGGUGGAUAGUUUAAGCCCUUCUAUGAAUUUGUUAAACAUGCUUUCAACCUCGGUCGUCAUGGAGGUUUUCAAUGUGUCCAAAGCUACAUUGAAUUCCUCAAGAGAGAUCAUGGUUCCCCCAUCGGCCGUAGACGAGAUUGGAUUCACACCGGAGUGCUGCUCCACACCAUCUACGGUGUCAACCAUACUCUUUGGACGACAAAGUCCUUAAUAAAGAGACGAGGCUCUAAUACCAACUGACAGGAUCGAUAUAGUUGACUAGAAGGGGGGGUGAAUAGGCAACUAACAAUUUUUAGCUUUUCUUUACCAAUUUGAACUUUGCAUCAAAGUAGGUUGUCUAGAUAUGCAACUAGGUGAGCAACCUAUAUGAUGCAACAACAAUAACAACAAGCAAGCAAGGGAUAUGACACAAAUAAGCUUGCACAAGUAAAGGUACAAGAUAACCAAGAGUGGAGCCGGCGAAGACAAGGAUGUUGCUACCUCUUGAGAACUUGCGUUGGUUUUUCCUUGAAGAGGAAAGGGUGACGCAACAGAGUAGCGUAAGUAUUUCCCUUAGUUUUUGAGAACCAAGGUAUCAAUGCAGUAGUAGGCCACACACGAGUCCCUCGUACCUACACAAACAAAUAAAUCCUCGCAACCAACGUGAUAAUUGUUGGAAAUAUGCCCUAGAGGCAAUAAUAAAUUAGUUAUUAUUAUAUUAUAUUUCAUUUUUCAUGAUAAUCGUUUAUUAUCCAUGCUAGAAUUGUAUUGAUAGGAAACUCAGAUACAUGUGUGGAUACAUAGACAACACCAUGUCCCUAGUAAGCCUCUAGUUGACUAGCUCGUUGAUCAAUAGAUGGUUACGGUUUCCUGACCAUGGGCAUUGGAUGUCAUUGAUAACGGGAUCACAUCAUUAGGAGAAUGAUGUGAUGGACAAGACCCAAUCCUAAGCCUAGCACAAGAUCAUGUAGUUCGUUUGCUAAAGCUUUUCUAAUGUCAAGUAUCAUUUCCUUAGACCAUGAGAUUGCGCAACUCCCGGAUACCGUAGGAGUGCUUUGGGUGUGCCAAAUGUCACAACGUAACUGGGUGGCUAUAAAGGUACACUACAGGUAUCUUCGAAAGUGACUGUUGGGUUGGCACGAAUCGAGACUGGGAUUUGUCACUCCGUGUAAACGGAGAGGUAUCUCUGGGCCCACUCGGUAGGACAUCAUCAUAAUGUGCACAAUGUGACCAAGGAGUUGAUCACGGGAUGAUGUGUUACAGAACGAGUAAAGAGACUUGCCGGUAACGAGAUUGAACAAGGUAACGGGAUACCGACGAUCGAAUCUCGGGCAAGUACAGUACCGAUGGACAAAGGGAAUUGUAUACGGGAUUGAUUAAAUCCUUGACAUCGUGGUUCAUCCGAUGAGAUCAUCAUGGAGCAUGUGGGAGCCAACAUGGGUAUCCAGAUCCCGCUGUUGGUUAUUGACCAGAGAGUUGUCUCGGCCAUGUCUGCAUGACUCCCGAACCCGUAGGGUCUACACACUUAAGGUUCGAUGACGCUAGGGUUAUAGGGAAAGUAUGUACGCGGUUACCGAAUGUUUUUCGGAGUCCCGGAUGAGAUCCCGGACGUCACGAGGAGUUCCGGAAUGGUCCGGAGGUAAAGAUUGAUAUAUAGGAAGUAUGGUUUUGGCCACCGGAAGUGUUCCGGGCAUCACCGGUAGUGUACCGGGACCACCGGAGGGGUCCGGGGGUCCACCGGGAGGGGCCACGGGCCCCGGAGGCAUACAUGGGCCAAGUGUGAGAAGGGACCAGCCCCUAGGUGGGCUGGGGAGCCUCCCCACCAAGGCCCAUGUGCCUAGGGAGAAGAGGGGGCAAACCCUAAGGGCAGAUGGGCCCUAAGGCCCAUGCCUGGUGCGCCUCCCUCUCCCCCCCACUUGGCCGCCACCCCAGAUGGGGAUUGGAGCUGCCGCCACCCCUAGGGUGGAAACCCUAGGUGGGGGUGCAGCCCUCCCUCUCCCCCUAUAUAUAGUGGAGGCAAAGGGGCAGCCCAACACAUGAAGUUCCUCCCCUGUUGGCGCAGCCCUACCCCUCUCCCUCCUCGUCUCUCGUAGUGCUUUGCGAAGCCCUGCUGGAGUCCCGCGCUCCUCCACCACCACCACGCCGUCGUGCUGCUGCUGGAUGGAGUCUUCCCCAACCUCUCCUUCUCCCCUUGCUGGAUCAAGGCAUAGGAGACGUCACCGGGUUGUACGUGUGUUGAACGUGGAGGUGCCGUCCGUUCGGCACUAGGAUCAUCGGUGAUUUGGAUCACGACGAGUACGACUCCAUCAACCCCGUUCACUUGAAUGUUUCUGCUUAGCAAUCUACAAGGGUAUGUAGAUGCACUCUCCUUCCCCUCGUUGCUAGAUUACUCCAUAGAUUGAUCUUGGUGAUGCGUAGAAAAUUUUAAAUUUCUGCUACGUUCCCCAACAGUGGCAUCAUGAGCUAGGUCUAUGCGUAGUUUCUAUGCACGAGUAGAACACAAAACAGUUGUGGGCGUCGAUAUUGUCAAUUUACUUGCCGUUACUAGUCUUAUCUUGAUUCGGCGGCAUCGUGGGAUGAAGCGGCCCAGACCGACCUUACACGUACUCUUACGUGAGACUGGUUCCACCGACUGACAUGCACUAGUUGCAUAAGGUGGCUAGCGGGUGUCUGUCUCUCCCACUUUAGUCGGAUCGGAUUCGAUGAAAAGGGUCCUUAUGAAGGGUAAAUAGAAGUUGGCAUAUCACGUUGUGGUUUUCGCGUAGGUAAGAAACGUUCUUGAUAGAAACCUAUAGCAGCCACGUAAAAACUUGCAACAACAAUUAGAGGACGUCUAACUUGUUUUUGCAGCAUAUGCCGUGUGAUGUGAUAUGGCCAAAAGGAUGUGAUGAAUGAUAUAUGUGAUGUAUGAGAUUCAUCAUGUUCUUGUAAUAGGAAUCACGACUUGCAUGUCGAUGAGUAUGACAACCGGCAGGAGCCAUAGGAGUUGUCUUAAUUUAUUUAUGACAUGCGUGUCAACAUAAACGUCAUGUAAUUACUUUACUUUAUUGCUAAAGCAUUAGCCAUAGUAGUAGAAGUAAUAGAUGACGAGACAACUUCAAGAAGACACGAUGAUGGAGAUCAUGAUGAUGGAGAUCAUGGUGUCAUGCCGGUGACAAUGAUGAUCAUGGAGCCCCGAAGAUGGAGAUCAAAAGGAGCAAAAUGAUAUUGGCCAUAUCAUGUCACUAUUUGAUUACAUGUGAUGUUUAUCAUGUUUUACAUCUUAUUUGCUUAGAACGACGGUAGCUUAAAUAAGAUGAUCCCUCACUAAAAUUUCAAGAAAAGUGUUCCCCCUAACUGUCCACCGUUGCGAAGGUUCGUCGUUUCGAAGCACCACGCGAUGAUCGGGUGUGAUAGAUUCUAACGUUCGAAUACAACGGGUGUAAGCCAGAUUUACACACGCAAUACAGUUAGGUUGACUUGACGAGCCUAGCAUGUACAGACAUGGCCUCGGAACACGGAAGACCAAAAGGUCAAGCAUGAGUCGUAUAGAAGAUACGAUCAACAUGAAGAUGUUCACCGAUGUUGACUAGUCCGUCUCACGUGAUGAUCGGACAUGGCCUAGUUGACUCGGAUCAUGUUUCACUUAGAUGACUAGAGAGAUGUCUAUCUGAGUGGGAGUUCAUUAAAUAAUUUGAUUAGAUGAACUCAAUUAUCAUGAACAUAGUCUAAAUUGUCUUUGCAAAUAUGUUGUAGAUAAAUAGCUCAUGUUGUAGCUCCUUGUUUCAAUACGUUCCUAGAGAAAGAUUAAGUUGAAAGAUAUUGUAAGCAAUGAUGCGGACUAGGUCCGUAGUCCGAGGAGUGUCCUCACUGCUACACAGAAGGCUUAUGUCUUUGAUGCACCGCUCGAUGUGCAAACCCCUACAACGUCGUCUGUGGAUGUUGUGAACACCUGACAGACACGUCCUGAUGACUACUUGAUAGUUUAGUGCACCAUACUUUGCGGCUUAGAAUCGGGAUUCCAAUGACGUUUUAAAGCCAUAGAACAUAUGAGAUGUUCCAAGAGCUGAAAUUGGGAUUUCAGGCUCAUGCCCGUGUUGAGAGGUGUGAGACCUCUGACAAGUUCUUUAGCCAACAAGAUGGAGGAGAAUAGCUCAACUAGUGAGCAUGUGCUCAGAAUGUCUAGAUGCUACAAUCACUUAAAUCAAGUGGGAGUUAAACUUCCAGAUAAGAUAGUGAUUGAUAGAGUUCUCUAGCCACUAUCACUAAGCUACUAGAUCUUCGUGAUGAACUAUGACAUGCAAGGGAUGGAGUUGAUCCCGGAGCUGUUCGCAGUGCUUAAGACCACAAAAGGUAGAAAUUAAGAAGGAGCAUCAAGUGUUUAUGGUUUAACAAGACCACUAGUUUCAAGAAGGGCAAGGGCUAGAAGGGAAACUUCAUGGAUGGCAAACCAGUUGCCGCUCCAGUGAAGGAACCCAAGGUUGAACCCAAACCCGAGACUAGGUGCUUCUAUUGUAAGGGGAACGGUCACUGGUAGCGGAAUUUCCCCAAAUGCAUGGUAGAUAAGAAGGCUGGCAACUUCAACAAAGUAUAUACGUGUUAUUAAUGUGUACCUCACUAGUACUCCUGGCAGCACCUGGGUAUUGGAUACCGGUUCAGUUACUAUUAUUGGUGACUUGAAGCAAAAGCUACGGACUAAAUGGAGACUGGCUGAGGGCGAGGUGACGAUGUGUGUUGGAAGUGUUUCCAAAGUUGAUGAAAUCACCAUCGCACGCUCCAUCUGCCUUCGGGAUUAGUAUUGAACCUAGAUAAAUGUUAUCAGGUGUCUGCGUUGAGCAUGAAUAUGAUUAGAUCAUGUUCAUUGCAAUACGGUCAUUCAUUUAAGUUAGAGAAUAAUGGUUAUUCUGUUUACAUGAAUGAUACCUUUCAUGGUCAUGCACCCUAUGUGAAUGGUUCAUUGAAUCUCGGUCGUGGUGAUACACAUGUUCACGCCAAAAGAUGUAGAGUUAAUAAUGAUAGUACCACUUUCUUGUGGCACUGCCGCUUAGGUCAUAUUGGCGUAAGAUGCAUGAAGAAACUGAAGGAAAUAUGCCCUAGAGGCAAUAAUAAAGUUAUUAUUUAUUUCCUUAUAUCAUGAUAAAUGUUUAUUAUUCAUGCUAGAAUUGUAUUAACCGGAAACAUAAUACAUGUGUGAAUACAUAGACAAACAGAGUGUCACUAGUAUGCCUCUACUAGACUAGCUUGUUAAUCAAAGAUGGUUAUGUUUCCUAACCAUGGACAAAGAGUUGCUAUUUGAUUAACGGGAUCAUAUCAUUAGGUGAAUGAUCUGAUUGACAUGACCCAUUCCAUUAGCUUAGCACCCGAUCGUUUAGUAUGUUGCUAUUGUUUUCUUCAUCACUUAUACAUGUUCCUAUGACUAUGAGAUUAUGCAACUCCCGUUUGCCGGAGGAACACUUUGUGUGCUACCAAAUGUCACAACGUAACUGGGUGAUUAUAAAGGUGCUCUACAGGUGUCUCCAAAGGUACAUGUUGGGUUGGCGUAUUUCGAGAUUAGGAUUUGUCACUCCGAUUGUCGGAGAGGUAUCUCUGGGCCCUCUCGGCAAUACACAUCACAUAAGCCUUGCAAGCAUUGCAACUAAUGAGUUAGUUGUGAGAUGAUGUAUUACGGAACGAGUAAAGAGACUUGCCGGUAACGAGAUUGAACUAGGUAUUAAGAUACCGACGAUCGAAUCUCGGGCAAGUAACAUACCGAUGACAAAGGGAACAACGUAUGUUGUUAUGCGGUCUGACCGAUAAAGAUCUUCGUAGAAUAUGUAGGAGCCAAUAUGAGCAUCCAGGUUCCGCUAUUGGUUAUUGACCGGAGACGUGUCUCGGUCAUGUCUACAUUGUUCUCAAACCCGUAGGGUCCGCACGCUUAAGGUUUCGAUGACAGUUAUAUUAUGAAUUUAUGAGUUUUGAUGUACCGAAGGAGUUCGGAGUCCCGGAUAGGAUCGGGGACAUGACGAGGAGUCUCGAAAUGGUCGAGACAUAAAGAUUGAUAUAUUGGAAGCCUAUAUUUGGAUAUCAGAAGUGUUCCGGGUGAAAUCGGGAUUUUACAGGAGUACCGGGAGGUUACCGGACCCCCCCCCCCCCCCGGGGAGGNNNNNNNNNNNNNNNNNNNNNNNNNNNNNNNNNNNNNNNNNNNNNNNNNNNNNNNNNNNNNNNNNNNNNNNNNNNNNNNNNNNNNNNNNNNNNNNNNNNNNNNNNNNNNNNNNNNNNNNNNNNNNNNNNNNNNNNNNNNNNNNNNNNNNNNNNNNNNNNNNNNNNNNNNNNNNNNNNNNNNNNNNNNNNNNNNNNNNNNNNNNNNNNNNNNNNNNNNNNNNNNNNNNNNNNNNNNNNNNNNNNNNNNNNNNNNNNNNNNNNNNNNNNNNNNNNNNNNNNNNNNNNNNNNNAGAGGGGGGCGGCGCCCCCCCUUUUCUUCUCUCUCUUCUUUUCCCCCUCCCGAAUCCUAUUCCAACUAGGAAAGGAGGGGAAUCCUACUCCCGGAGGGAGUAGGACUCCUCCUGGCGCGCCCUCUCCUGGCCGGCCACACCCCCCCUUUGAUCCUUUAUAUACGGAGGCAGGGGGCACCCCUACGGACACAAGUUGAUCCACAUGAUCAUAUUCUUAGCCGUGUGCGGUGCCCCCUUCCACCAUAGUCCUCGAUAAUAUUGUAGCGGUGCUUAGGCGAAGCCCUGCGAUGGUAGUACAUCAAGAUCGUCACCACGCCGUCGUGCUGACGGAACUCUUCCCUGACACUUUGCUGGAUCGUAGUCCGGGGAUCGUCAUCGAGCUAAACGUGUGCUAGAACUCGGAGGUGUCGUAGUUUUGGUGCUUGAUCGGUCGGGCCGUGAAGACGUACGACUACAUCAACCACGUUGUGCUAAUGCUUCCGUUGUCGAUCUACAAGGGUACGUAGAUCACACUCUCCCCUCUCGUUGCUAUGCAUCACCAUGAUCUUGCGUGUGCGUAGGAAUUUUUUUGAAAUUACUACAUAACCCAACAGUGGCAUCCGAGCCUAGGUUUUAUGUGUUGAUGUUAUUUGCACGAGUAGAACACAAGUGAGUUGUGGGUGAUAUAAGUCAUACUGCUUACCAACAUGUCAUACUUUGGUUUGGCGGUAUUGUUGGACGAAGCGGCCCGGACCGACAUUACGCGUAUGCUUACGUGAGACCGGUUCUCCCGACGUGCUUUGCACAAAGGUGGCUAGCGGGUGACAGUUUCUCCAACUUUAGUUGAACCGAGUGUGGCUACGCCCGGUCCUUGCGAAGGUUAAAACAGCACCAACUUGACAAACUAUUGUUGUGGUUUUGAUGCGUAGGUAAGAUUGGUUCUUGCUUAAGCUCGUAGCAGCCACGUAAAACUUGCAACAACAAAGUAGAGGACGUCUAACUUGUUUUUGCGGGGCAUGUUGUGAUGUGAUAUGGUCAAGACAUGAUGCUAAAUUUUAUUGUAUGAGAUGAUCAUGUUUUGUAACCGAGUUAUCGGCAACUGGCAGGAGCCAUAUGGUUGUCGCUUUAUUGUAUGCAAUGCAAUCGCGCUGUAAUGCUUUACUUUAUCUCUAAGCGGUAGCGAUAGUCAUGGAAGCAUAAGAUUGGCGAGACGACAACGAUGCUACGAUGGAGAUCAAGGUGUCGCGCCAGUGACGAUGGUGAUCAUGACGGUGCUUCGAAGAUGGAGAUCACAAGCACAAGAUGAUGAUGGCCAUAUCAUAUCACUUAUAUUGAUUGCAUGUGAUGUUUAUCUUUUAUGCAUCUUAUCUUGCUUUGAUUGAUGGUAGCACUAUAAGAUGAUCUCUCACUAAUUAUCAAGAAGUGUUCUCCCUGAGUAUGCACCGUUGCGAAAGUUCUUCGUGCUGAGACACCACAUGAUGAUCGGGUGUGAUAGGCUCUACGUUCAAAUACAACGGGUGCAAAACAGUUGCACAUGCGGAAUACUCAGGUUAUACUUGACGAGCCAAGCAUAUACAGAUAUGGCCUCGGAACACGGAGACCGAAAGGUCGAGCAUGAAUCAUAUAGUAGAUAUGAUCAACAUAGUGAUGUUCACCAAUGAAACUACUCCAUCUCACGUGAUGAUCGGACAUGGUUUAGUUGAUUUGGAUCACGUAAUCACUUAGAGGAUUAGAGGGAUGUCUAUCUAAGUGGGAGUUCUUUAAGUAAUAUGAUUAAUUGAACCUAAAUUUAUCAUGAACUUAGUACCUGAUAGUAUCCUGCUUAUUCAUGUUUAAUUGUAGAUAGAUGGCCCGUGCUGUUGUUCCGUUGAAUUUUAAUGCGUUCCUUGAGAAAGCAAAGUUUAAAGAUGAUGGUAGCAAUUACACGGACUAGGUCCGUAACUUGAGGAUUAUCCUCAUUGCUGCACAGAAGAAUUACGUCCUGGAAGCACCGCUGGGUGCCAGGCCUGCUGCUGGAGCAACACCAGAUGUUAUGAACGUCUGGCAGAGCAAAGCUGAUGACUACUCGAUAGUUCAGUGUGCCAUGCUUUACGGCUUAGAAUCGGGACUUCAACGAUGUUUUGAACGUCACGGAGCAUAUGAGAUGUUCCAGGAGUUGAAGUUAAUAUUUCAAGCAAAUGCCCGAACUGAGAGAUAUGAAGUCUCCAAUAAAUUCUAUAGCUGCAAGAUGGAGGAGAACAGUUCUGUCAGUGAGCAUAUACUCAAAAUGUCUGGGUAUAAUAAUCACUUGAUUCAAUUGGGAGUUAAUCUUCCAGAUGAUUGCGUCAUUGACAGAAUUCUCCAAUCACUGCCACCAAGCUACAAGAGCUUCGUGAUGAACUAUAAUAUGCAAGGGAUGAAUAAGACUAUUCCCGAGCUCUUCGCAAUGCUGAAAGUUGCGGAGGUAGAAAUCAAGAAGGAGCAUCAAGUGUUGAUGGUCAACAAGACCACUAGUUUCAAGAAAAAGGGCAAAGGGAAGAAGAAGGGGAACUUCAAAAAGAACAGCAAGCAAGUUGCUUCUCAAGAGAAGAAACCCAAACCUGGACCUAAGCCUGAAACUGAGUGCUUCUACUGCAAGCAGACUGGUCACUGGAAGCGGAACUGCCUCAAGUAUUUGGCGGAUAAGAAGGAUGGCAAGGUGAACAAAGGUAUAUGUGAUAUACAUGUUAUUGAUGUGUACCUUACUAAUGCUUGCUGUAGCACCUAGGUAUUUGAUACUGGUUCUGUUGCUAAUAUUUGCAACUCAAAACAGGGACUACAGAUUAAGCGAAGAUUGGCUAAGGACGAGGUGACGAUGCACGUGGGAAAUGGUUCCAAAGUCGAUAUGAUCGCAGUCGGCACGCUACCUCUACAUCUACCUUCGGGAUUAAUAUUAGACCUAAAUAAUUGUUAUUUGGUGCCAGCGUUAAGCAUGAACAUUAUAUCUGGAUCUUGUUUGAUGCGAGACGGUUAUUCAUUUAAAUAAGAGAAUAAUGGUUGUUCUAUUUACAUGAGUAAUAUCUUUUAUGGUCAUGCACCCUUAAAGAGUGGUCUAUUCUUAUUAAAUCUCGAUAGUAGUGACACACAUAUUCAUAGUGUUGAAACCAAAAGAUGCAGAGUUGAUAAUGAUAGUGCAACUUAUUUGUGGCACUGCCGUUUAGGUCAUAUCGGUAUAAAGCGCAUGAAGAAACUCCAUACUGAUGGGCUUUUGGAACCACUUGAUUAUGAAUCACUUGGUACUUGCGAACCGUGCCUUAUGGGUAAGAUGACAAAAACACCAUUCUCCGGUACUAUGGAGAGAGCAACAGAUUUGUUAGAAAUCAUACAUGCAGAUGUAUGUGGUCCGAUGAAUGUUGAGGCUCGUGGCGGAUAUCGUUAUUUUCUCACCUUCACAGAUGACUUAAGCAGAUAUGGGUAUAUCUACUUAAUGAAACACAAGUCUGAAACGUUUGAAAAGUUCAAAGAAUUUCAGAGUGAAGUUGAAAAUCAUCAUAACAAGAAAAUAAAAUUCCUACGAUCUGAUCGUGGAGGAGAAUAUUUGAGUUACGAGUUUGGUGUACAUUUGAAACAAUGUGGAAUAGUUUCGCAACUCACGCCACCCGAAACACCACAGCGUAAUGUUGUGUCCGAACGUCGUAAUCGUACUUUACUAGAUAUGGUACGAUCUAUGAUGUCUCUUACUGAUUUACCGCUAUCGUUUUGGGGAUACGCUCUAGAGACGACCGCAUUCACGUUAAAUAGGGCACCAUCAAAAUCCGUUGAGACAACGCCUUAUGAACUGUGGUUUGGCAAGAAACCAAAGUUGUCGUUUCUGAAAGUUUGGGGCUGCGAUGCUUAUGUGAAAAAGCUUCAACCUGAUAAGCUCGAACCCAAAUCGGAAAAAUGUGUCUUCAUAGGAUAUCCAAAGGAAACUAUUGGAUACACCUUCUAUCACAGAUCCGAAGGCAAGACUUUUGUUGCAAAAUUCGGAAACUUUCUGGAGAAGGAGUUUCUCUCGAAAGAAGUGAGUGGGAGGAAAGUAGAACUUGACAAGGUAACUGUACCUACUCCCUUAUUGGAAAGUAGUACAUCACAGAAACAUGUUUCUGUGACACCUACACCAAUUAGUGAGGAAGCUAAUGAUAAUGAUCAUGAAACUUCUGAACAAGAUACUACUGAACCUCGUAGAUCAACCAGAGUGAGAUCCGCGCCAGAGUGGUACGGUAAUCCUGUUCUGGAAGUCAUGCUACUAGAUCAUGAUGAACCUACGAACUAUGAAGAAGCGAUGGUGAGCCCAGAUUCCGCAAAAUGGCUUGAAGCCAUGAAAUCUGAGAUGGGAUCCAUGUAUGAGAACAAAGUAUGGACUUUGGUUGACUUGCCCAAUUAUCGGCAAGCAAUUGAGAAUAAAUGGAUCUUCAAGAAGAAGACGGAUACUGACGGUAAUAUUACUAUCUACAAAGCUCGACUUGUCGCAAAAGGUUUUCGGCAAGUUCAAGGGAUUGACUAUGAUGAGACCUUCUCACCCGUAGCGAUGCUUAAGUCUGUCCGAAUCAUGUUAGCAAUUGCCGCAUUUUAUGAUUAUGAAAUUUGGUAGAUGGAUGUCAAAACGGCAUUCCUGAAUGGAUUUCUGGAAGAAGAGUUGUAUAUGAUGCAACCAGAAGGUUUUGUCGAUCCAAAGGGAGCUAACAAAGUGUGCAAGCUCCAGCGAUCCAUUUAUGGACUGGUGCAAGCCUCUCGGAGUUGGAAUAAACGCUUUGAUAGUGUGAUCAAAGCAUUUGGUUUUGUACAGACUUUUGGAGAAGCCUGUAUUUACAAGAAAGUGAGUGGGAGCUCUGUAGCAUUUCUGAUAUUAUAUGUGGAUGACAUAUUACUAAUUGGAAAUGAUAUAGAAUUUCUGGAUAGCAUAAAGGGAUACUUGAAUAAGAGUUUUUCAAUGAAAGACCUCGGUGAAGCUGCUUACAUAUUAGGCAUUAAGAUCUAUAGAGAUAGAUCAAGACGCUUAAUUGGACUUUCACAAAGCACAUACCUUGACAAAGUUUUGAAGAAGUUCAAAAUGGAUCAAGCAAAGAAAGGGUUCUUGCCUGUGUUACAAGGUGUGAAGUUGAGUCAGACUCAAUGCCCGACCACUGCAGAAGAUAGAGAGAAAAUGAAAGAUGUUCCCUAUGCUUUAGCCAUAGGCUCUACCAUGUAUGCAAUGUUGUGUACCAGACAUGAUGUGUGCCUUGCUAUAAGUCUAGCAGGGAGGUACCAAAGUAAUCCAGGAGUGGAUCACUGGACAGCGGUCAAGAACAUCCUGAAAUACCUGAAAAGGACUAAGGAUAUGUUUCUCGUUUAUGGAGGUGACAAAGAGCUAAUCGUAAAUGGUUACAUCGAUGCGAGCUUUGACACUGAUCUGGACGAUUCUAAAUCGCAAACUGGAUACGUAUUUACAUUAAAUGGUGGAGCUGUCAGUUGGUGCAGUUCUAAACAAAGCGUCAUGGCGGGAUCUACGUGUGAAGCAGAAUACAUAGCUGCUUCAGAAGCAGCAAAUGAAGGAGUCUGGAUGAAGGAGUUCAUAUCCGAUCUAGGUGUCAUACCUAGUGCAUCGGGUCCAGUGAAAAUCUUUUGUGACAAUACUGGUGCAAUUGCCUUGGCAAAGGAAUCCAGAUUUCACAAGAGAACCAAGCACAUCAAGAGAUGCUUCAAUUCCAUCCGGGAUCUAGUCCAGGUGGGAGACAUAGAGAUUUGCAAGAUACAUACAGAUCUGAAUGUAGCAGACCCGUUGACUAAGCCUCUUCCACGAGCAAAACAUGAUCAGCACCAAGGCUCCAUGGGUGUUAGAAUCAUUACUAUAUAAUCUAGAUUAUUGACUCUAGUGCAAGUGGGAGACUGAAGGAAAUAUGCCCUAGAGGCAAUAAUAAAGUUAUUGUUUAUUUCCUUAUAUCAUGAUAAAUGUUUAUUAUUCAUGCUAGAAUUGUAUUAACCGGAAACAUAAUACAUGUGUGAAUACAUAGACAAACAGAGUGUCACUAGUAUGCCUCUACUAGACUAGCUCAUUAAUCAAAGAUGGUUAUGUUUCCUAACCAUGGACAAAGAGUUGUUAUUUGAUUAACGGGAUCACAUCAUUAGGUGAAUGAUCUGAUUGACAUGACCCAUUCCAUUAGCUUAGCACCCGAUCGUUUAGUAUGUUGCUAUUGCUUUCUUCAUGACUUGUACAUGUUCCUAUGACUAUGAGAUUAUGCAACUCCCAUUUGCCGGAGGAACACUUUGUGUGCUACCAAACGUCACAACGUAACUAGGUGAUUAUAAAGGUGCUCUACAGGUGUCUCCAAAGGUACAUGUUGGGUUGGCGUAUUUCGAGAUUAGGAUUUGUCACUCCGAUUGUCGGAGAGGUAUCUCUGGGCCCUCUCGGUAAUACACAUCACAUAAGCCUUGCAAGCAUUGCAACUAAUGAGUUAGUUGUGAGAUGAUGUAUUACGGAACGAGUAAAGAGACUUGCCGGUAACGAGAUUGAACUAGGUAUUAAGAUACCGACGAUCGAAUCUCGGGCAAGUAACAUACCGAUGACAAAGGGAACAACGUAUGUUGUUAUGCGGUCUGACCGAUAAAGAUCUUCGUAGAAUAUGUAGGAGCCAAUAUGAGCAUCCAGGUUCCGCUAUUGGUUAUUGACCGGAGACAUGUCUCGGUCAUGUCUACAUUGUUCUCGAACCCGUAGGGUCCGCACGCUUAAGGUUUCGAUGACAGUUAUAUUAUGAGUAUAUGAGUUUUGAUGUACCGAAGGAGUUCAGAGUCCCGAAUAGGAUCGGGGACAUGACGAGGAGUCUCGAAAUGGUCGAGACAUAAAGAUUGAUAUAUUGGAAGCCUAUAUUUGGAUAUCGGAAGUGUUCCGGGUGAAAUAGGGAUUUUACCGGAGUACCGGGAGGUUACCGGAACCCCCCCGGGAGGUAUAUGGGCCUUAGUGGAAGAGAGGAGAGGUGGCCAGGGCUGGGCCGCGCACCCCUCCCCCCCCUAGUCCGAAUAGGACAAGGAGAGGGGGCGGUGCCCCCCUUUUCUUCUCUCUCUUCUUUUCCCCCUCCCGAAUCCUAUUCCAACUAGGAAAGGGGGGGAAUCCUACUCCCGGAGGGAGUAGGACUCCUCCUGGCGCGCCCUCUCCUGGCCGGCCACACCCCCCCCCCUUGAUCCUUUAUAUACGGAGGCAGGGGGCACCCCUACAGACACAAGUUGAUCCACGUGAUCAUAUUCUUAGUCGUGUGCGGUGCCCCCUUCCACCAUAGUCCUCGAUAAUAUUGUAGCGGUGCUUAGGCGAAGCCCUGCGACGGUAGUACAUCAAGAUCGUCACCAUGCCGUCAUGCUGACAGAACUCUUCCCCGACACUUUGCUGGAUCGGAGUCCGGGGAUCGUCAUCGAGCUGAACGUGUGCUAGAACUCGGAGGUGCCGUAGUUUCGGUGCUUGAUCGGUCGGGCCGUGAAGACGUACGACUACAUCAAACACGUUGUGCUAACGCUUCUGUUGUCGAUCUACAAGGGUACGUAGAUCACACUCUCCCCUCUCGUUGCUAUGCAUCACCAUGAUCUUGCGUGUGUGUAGGAAUUUUUUCGAAAUUACUAUAUAACCCAACAGAAACUCCAUAUCGAUGGAUGUUUGGAGUCACUUGAUUUUGAAUCACUUGACACAUGUGAGCCAUGCCUCAUGGGCAGGAUGACUAAGACCCCGUUUUCGGGUACAAUGAAACGGGCAAGUGACUUGUUGGAAAUCAUGCAUGUUGAUGCGUGUGAUCCAAUGGGAAUUAAAGUGUGUGGUGGAUAUCGCUAUUUUCUCAUCUUCACUGACGAUUUGGGUAGAUAUAGGUAUAUCUACUUAAUGAAGCACAAGUCUGAAACGUUUGAAAAGUUCAAGUGAUUUCAGAGUGAAGUUAAGAAUCAUCAUAACAAGAAGAUCAAAUUCCUACGAUCUGAUCAAUGAGAAUAUCUGAGUUAUGAGUUUGGCAAACACUUAAGACAUUGUGGAAUUGUUUCACUGUUGAAGCCACCUGGAACACCACUGGGUUAUGGUGUGUCCGGACGUCGUAAUCGAACCUUAUGAGAUAUGGUGCGAUCUAUGAUGUCUCUUACCAAUCUACCGUUUUCAUUUUGAGGUUAUGCAUUAGAGACAGCUGCAUUCACUUUAGAUAGGACACCAUCUAAGUCCGUUGAGACGACGUCAUAAGAACAUUGGUUUGGCAAGAAACCAAAGUUGUCAUUUCUUAACGUUUGGGGAUGCGAUGGUCGGGGCUUCAGCCGGAGAAGCUCGAACCCAAAGCGGACAAACACAUCUUCAUAGGAUACCCAAGGGUGACAGUUGGGUAUACCUUCUAUCUCAGAUCCGAGGGCAAAUUGUUUGUCGCUAAGAACAGGUCCUUUCUCGAGAAGGAGUUUCUCUCGAAAGAAUUGAGUGGGAGGAAGAUAGAACUUGAUGAGGUUGUCGAACCUUUACUUCAACCAGAGAGUGAUGCAACAUAGAAAGAUGUUUUCUGUGGUGCCUACGUCUGUUGAAUAGGAAGUUAAUGAUAGUGAUCAUGAAGCUUCGGAUCAAGUUGCUAUCGAACCUCAUAGGUCGACAAGGAUAUGUACUACUCCUAAGUGGUAUGGUAAUCCUGUCUUAGAUAUCAUGUUGUUAGACAACAAUGAACCUACGAGCUAUGGAGAAGCGAUGGUGGGCCCAUAUUCCGACAAAUGGUUAGAAGCCAUGAAAUCCGAGAUAGGAUCCAUAUAUCAGAACAAAGUAUGGACUUUGGUGGACUUGCCCGUUGAUCGGCAAGCCAUUGAGAUAAAUGGAUCUUUAAGAAGAAGACGGACGUGGGAGGUAAUGUUACCGUCUAUGAAGCUCGACUUGUGGGAAAGAGUCUUUUCACAAGUUCAAGGAGUUGACUACGAUGAGAAUUUCUCACCCGUAGCGAUGCUUAAGUCCGUCGGAAUCAUGUUAGCAUUAGUUGUAUUUUUCGAUUAUGAAAUCUUACAUAUGGAUGUCAAAACAAGUAUUCUUACCAAGUUUUUGUAAGAAAAGUUGUAUGUGAUACAAUCAAAGUUUUGUUGAUCCUAAGGAUGCUAAAAGGUAUGCUGGCUCCAGCGAUCCUUCUAUGGACUAGAGCAAGCAUCUCGGAGUCAGAAUAUAUGCUUUGAUGGAGUGAUCAAAGCUUUUAGGUUUAUACAAUGUUUGCUAGAAACGUGUAUUUACAAGAAAGUGAGUGAGAGCACUACAACAUUUCUGAUAAGUAUAUGUGGAUGGCAUAUUGUUGAUUCGAAAUGAUGUAGAAUUUCUGGAAAGCAUAAACGGUUGUUUGAAGAGUGAUUUUCAAAGGAAGACCUAGAUAAAGCUGCUUACAUAUUGGGCAUCAGGAUCUAUAGAAAUAGAUCAAGACGCUUGAUGAUACUUUCAAAGAACGCACACCUUGACAUGUUUUUAAAGGAGUUCAAAAUAGAUCAGUCAAAGAAGGGGUUCUUGCCUGAGUUGUAAGGUGUGAAGUUGAGUAAGACUCAAAGCUUGACCACGGCAGAAGAAAGAGGAAGGACGAAGGUCGUCCCCUAUGCUUUUGUCAUAGGCUCUAUACGGUAUGCCAUGCUGAAGUACUGCACCUGAUGUGUACCUUGCCACAUGUCUGGCAAGAGGGUACAAAGGUGAUCUAGGAGUGGAUCGCCAGAUAGCGGUCAAAAUUAUCCUUAGAGGAAUAAGGAAAUGUUUCUCGGAUAUGGAGGUGGUGAAGAGUUCGAUGUAAAGAGUUACGUCGAUGCAAGCUUAACACCUAUCCGGAUAGCUCUGAGUAGAGAUACCGGAUAUGUAUAAUGGAGCAACAAUUUGGAAUAGCUCCAAGUGGAACGUGGUAGCAGCAUCUACGAUAUGACAUAAAGUUUUGCGAAAUACAUAGGGAUCUGAAUAUGGCAAGACCCGCUGACUACAACCUCUCUCACAAGCAUAACAUGAUCAAACCCAGAACUCUUUGAGUGUUUAUCACAUAGUGAUGUGAACUAGAUCAUUGAGUCUAGUAGACUCUUGGAUGUUGGUCACAUGGCGAUGUGACCUGUGAGUGUUAAUCACAUGGCGAUGUGAACUAGAUUAUUGACUCUAGUGCAAGUGGAAGACUAUUGGAAAUAUGCCCUAGAGGCAAUAAUAAAUUAGUUAUUAUUAUAUUAUAUUUCAUUGUUCAUGAUAAUCGUUUAUUAUCCAUGCUAGAAUUGUAUUGAUAGGAAACUUAGAUACAUGUGUGGAUACAUAGACAACACCAUGUCCCUAGUAAGCCUCUAGUUGACUAGCUCAUUGAUCAAUAGAUGGUUACGGUUUCCUGACCAUGGGCAUUGGAUGUCGUUGAUAACGGGAUCACAUCAUUAGGAGAAUGAUGUGAUGGACAACACCCAAUCCUAAGCCUAGCACAAGAUCGUGUAGUUCGUUUGCUAAAGCUUUUCUAAUGUUAAGUAUCAUUUCCUUAGACCAUGAGAUUGUGCAACUCCCGGAUACCAUAGGAGUGCUUUGGGUGUGCCAAACGUCACAACGUAACUGGGUGGCUAUAAAGGUACACUACAUGUAUCUCCGAAAGUGUCUGUUGGGUUGGCACGAAUCGAGACUGGGAUUUGUCACUCCGUGUAAAUGGAGAGGUAUCUCUGGGCCCACUCGGUAGGACAUCAUCAUAAUGUGCACAAUGUGACCAAGGAGUUGAUCACGGGAUGAUGUGUUACGGAACGAGUAAAGAGACUUGCCGGUAAUGAGAUUGAACAAGGUAUCGGGAUACCGACGAUCGAAUCUCGGGCAAGUACAGUACCGAUGGACAAAGGGAAUUGUAUACGGGAUUGAUUAAAUCCUUGACAUCGUGGUUCAUCUGAUGAGAUCAUCGUGGAGCAUGUGGGAGCCAACAUGGGUAUCCAGAUCCCGCUGUUGGUUAUUGACCAGAGAGUUGUCUCGGCCAUGUCUGCAUGACUCCCGAACCCGUAGGGUCUACACACUUAAGGUUCGAUGACGCUAGGGCUAUAGGGAAAGUAUGUACGCGGUUACCGAAUGUUGUUCGGAGUCCCGGAUGAGAUCCCGGACGUCACGAGGAGUUCCGGAAUGGUCCGGAGGUAAAGAUUGAUAUAUAGGAAGUAUGGUUUUGGCCACCGGAAGUGUUCCGGGCAUCACCGAUAGUGUACCGGGACCACCGGAGGGGUCCGGGGGUCCACCGGGAGGGGCCACGGGCCCCGGAGGCAUACAUGGGCCAAGUGUGAGAAGGGACCAGCCCCUAGGUGGGCUGGGGCGCCUCCCCACCAAGGCCCAUGCUUCUAGGGAGAAGAGGGGGCAAACCCUAAGGGCAGAUGGGCCCUAAGGCCCAUGCCUGGUGCGCCUCCCUCUCCCCCCACUUGGCCGCCACCCCAGAUGGGGAUUGGAGCUGCCGCCACCCCUAGGGUGGAAACCCUAGGUGGGGGCGCAGCCCUCCCUCUCCCCUUAUAUAUAGUGGAGGCAAAGGGGCAGCCCAACACAUGAAGUUCCUCCCCUGUUGGCGCAGCCCUACCCCUCUCCCUCCUCGUCUCUCGUAGUGCUUGGCGAAGCCCUGCUGGAGUCCCGCGCUCCUCCACCACCACCACGCCAUCGUGCUGCUGCUGGAUGGAGUCUUCCCCAACCUCUCCUUCUCCCCUUGCUGGAUCAAGGCGUAGGAGACGUCACCGGGCUGUACGUGUGUUGAACGCGGAGGUGCCGUCCGUUCGGCACUAGGAUCAUCGGUGAUUUGGAUCAUGACGAGUACGACUCCAUCAACCCCGUUCACUUGAACGCUUCCGCUUAGCGAUCUACAAGGGUAUGUAGAUGCACUCUCCUUCCCCUCGUUGCUAGAUUACUCCAUAGAUUGAUCUUGGUGAUGCGUAGAAAAUUUUAAAUUUUUGCUAUGUUCCCCAACAAUAAUGGGUUGUCAAUCCCUUCACGGUCACUUACAAGAGUGAGAUCUGAUAGAUAUGAUAAGAUAAUAUUUUUGGUAUUUUUAUGAUAAAGAUGCAAAAUAAAAUAAAAGGCAAAGGAAAUAACUAAGUAUUGGAAGAUUAAUAUGAUGGAAGAUAGACCCGGGGGCCAUAAGUUUCACUAGUGGCUUCUCUCGAGAGCAUAAGUAUUCACGACGGGUAAACAAAUUACUAUUGAGCAUUUGACAGAAUUGAGCAUAGUUAUGAGAAUAUCUAGGUAUGAUCAUGUAUAUAGGCAUCACGUCCGAGACAAGUAGACCGACUCCUACCUGCAUCUACUACUAUUACUCCACACAUCGACCGCUAUCCAACAUGCAUCUAGAGUAUUAAGUUCAAGAGAACAGAGUAACGCUUUAAGCAAGAUGACAUGAUGUAGAGGGAUAAACUCGUGUAAUAUGAAAUAAAACCCAUCUUGUUAUCCUCGAUGGUAACAAUACAAUACGUGCCUUGCUGUCCCUACUGUCACUAGGAAAGGACACCGCAAGAUUGAACCCAAAGCUAAGCAUUUCUCCCAUUGCAAGAAAGAUCAAUCUAGUAGGCCAAACCAAACUGAUAAUUCGAAGAGACUUGCAAAGAUAACCAAUCAUACAUAAAAGAAUUCAGAGAAGAUUCAAAUAUUGUUCAUAGAUAAACUUGAUCAUAAACCCACAAUUCAUCGGUCUCAACAAACACACCGCAAAAGAAGAUUACAUCGAAUAUAUCUCCACAAGAGAGGGGAGAACUUUGUAUUGAGAUCCAAAAAGAGAGAAGAAGCCAUCUAGCUAAUAACUAUGGACCUGUAGGUCUGAGGUAAACUACUCACACUUCAUCGGAAGGGCUAUGGUUGAUGUAGAAGCCCUCCGUGAUCGAUGCCCCCUCCAGCGGAGCUCCGGAAUAGGCCCCAAGAUGGGAUCUCGUGGAUACAGAAAGUUACGGCGGUGGAAUUAAGGUUUUGCCUCCGUAUCUAGUAGUUUGGGGGUACGUAGGUAUAUAUAGGAGGAAGGAGUACGUCGGUGGAGCAACAGGGGGCCCACGAGGGUGGAGGGCGUGCCCAGGGGGUAGGCGUGCCCCCUACCUCGUGGCCUCCUGGUUGAUGUCUUGACGUAGGGUCCAAGUCCUCUGGAUCAUGUUCGUUCCGAAAAUCACGUUCCCGAAGGUUUCAUUCUUUUUGGACUCCGUUUGAUAUUCUUUUUCUGCGAAACCCUAAAACAAGCAAAAAAAGACAGCAAUUCUAGGCUGGGCCUCCGGUUAAUAGGUUAGUCCCAAAAAUAAUAUAAAAGUGUAUAAUAAAGCCCAAUAAUGUCCAAAACAGAAUAUAAUAUAGCAUGGAACAAUCAAAAAUUAUAGAUACGUUGGAGACGUAUCAGAUGUGUCACUGAAGUUCCUUCCUUUUGAAGGGAAGUACGUCUCCGUUGGAGCGGUGUGGAGGCACAAUGCUCCCCAAGAAGCCACUAGGGCCACCGUAUUCUCCUCACGCCCUCACACAAUGCGAGAUGUCGUGAUUCCACUAUUGGUGCCCUUGAAGGCGGCGACCGGACCUUUACAAACAAGGUUGGGGCUCUCUCCACAACUAAAUUGGAGGCUCCCAACGAAACCAUGGAGCUUCACCACAAUGGAAUAUGGCUCUGAGGUGAACUCAACCAUCUAGGGUGCUCAAACACCCAAGAGUAACGAAAUCCACACGAGAAAGUGGUACGUCUCUAACGUAUCUAUAAUUUUUGAUUGCUCCAUGCUAUUAUAUUAUCUAUUUUGGAUAUUAAUGGGCUUAUUUUUACAAUUUUAUAUUAUUUUUGGGACUAACCUAUUAACCGGAGGCCCAGCCCAAAUUGUUGUUUUUUGCCUAGAAAAGGAAUAUCAAACGGCGUCCAAACAGAAUGAAACCUUCGGGAACGUGAUUUUUGGAACAAACGUGAUCCACGAGACUUGGAGUGGACGUCAAGAAUCAAUCGAGGAGGCCAUGAGGCAGGGAGCGCGUCCUCCACCCUCGUGGGCCCCUCGUUGCUCCACCGACAUACUUCUUCCUCCUAUAUAUAUCCAUAUACCCCGCAAACAUCCAGGAGCACCACGAAAACCUAAUUCCACCACCGCAACCUUCUGUACCCAAGAGAUCCCAUCUUGGGACCUUUUCCGGAGCUCUGCUGGAGGGGGUAUCGAUCAUGGAGGUCCUCUACAUCAACUCCAUGGCCCCUCUGAUGAUGUGUGAGUAGUUUACCUUAGACCUUCGGGUCCAUAGCUAGUAGCUAGAUGGCUUCUUCUCUCUCUUUGGAUCUCAAUACAAAGUUCUCCUCGAUUCUCUUGGAGAUCUAUUCGAUGUAAUCUUCUUUUGCGGUGUGUUUGUCGAGAUCCGGUGAAUUGUGGGUUUAUGAUCAAGUUUAUCUAUGAACAAUAUUUGAAUCUUCUCUGGAUUCUUUUAUGUAUGAUUGGUUUAUCUUUGCAAGUCUCUUCGAAUUAUCAGUUUGGUUUGGCCUACUAGAUUGAUAUUUCUUGCAAUGGGAGAAGUGCUUAGCUUUGGGUUCAAUCUUGCGGUGCUCGAUCCCAGUGACAGAAAGGGAACCGACACGUAUUGUAUUGUUGCCAUCGAGGAUAAAAAGAUGGGGUUUACAUCAUAUUGCAUGAGUUUAUCCCUCUACAUCAUGUCAUCUUGCUUAAGGCAUUACGCUGUUCUUAUGAGCUUAAUACUCUAGAUGCAUGCUGGAUAGCGGUCGAUGUGUGGAGUAAUAGUAGUAGAUGCAGAAUCGUUUCGGUCUACUUGUCACGGACGUGAUGCCUAUAUACAUGAUCAUGCCUAGAUAUUCUCAUAAUUAUUCGCUUUUCUAUCAAUUGCUCGACAGUAAUUUGUUCACCCACCGUAAUACUUAUGCUAUCUUGAGAGAAGCCACUAGUGAAACCUAUGGCCCCCGGGUCUAUUUUCCAUCAUACAAGUUUCCAAUCUAUUUUAUUUUGCAAUCUUUACUUUCAAUCUAUAUCAUAAAAAUACCAAAAAUAUUUAUCUUAUUAUUAUUAUUAUCUCUAUCAGAUCUCACUCUUGCAAGUGGCCGUGAAGGGAUUGACAACCCCUUUAUCGCGUUGGUUGCGAGGUUCUUAUUUGUUUGUGUAGGUACGAGGUGACUCGCGCGUAGUCUCCUACUGGAUUGAUACCUUUGUUCUCAAAAACUGAGAGAAAUACUUACGCUGCUUUAUUGCAUCACCCUUUCCUCUUCAAGGGAAAACCAAUGCAGUGUUCAAGAGGUAGCAGAAAGUAUGGGGGAAGCAAAUAUCCUUUGGUGGAAGUGUAGAUCUAGGUCUCCUCCUUCAAUCCCUAGCAAAUCAACAAGUUUGAGUGGCUAGAGAGAGAGAUCGGGCAAGAGAGCUUGAGUGGCAUUAAUGGUCGAGUGAGAGAGGUAAGAGGUAAAUGUGGUAGGUGGAAGAACCACCCUUAUAUAGCAACCCUAAAAAUCCAACCGUUACUGUGUUUUCUGUACUGCAGCGGUACAACCGGUCCUCGCCCCGGUACAACCGGGCCUCGCAGUUUACCAACUGAACCCUACCUGGCAGUACAACCGUGCGAGCAGGCAGUAUUACCAGUCAAAGAGAACAACCGGAAAAACCGCCCAGCCACCUCUUAACUACCGCAUUGAAACAGAAGGGAGUCACCCUAGAGUGCGAUAGUCAAGCAGUACACGACCGGUGCAACCGCCUGGCCAUGGGCGCUUGAGCGGCUAAGUCCCAAGCGGUAGAACCUCUCGGGGCACCGGUAGUACCAGUGUGCGGGGCACAACCGGACCAACCGGGCCACUACCGCCCAAGUACCGCAUCACAACAGAGGCAAGACCGGUUGUUGAGCGGUACUUUGUCGGAACAACCGCUGCAGUCAUUGAGGAGCAAGGUGGCAGUACCACCGCCCGGAGGCAGCGGUACAACCGCUCAAACAAGACUGGGUAAGCGCCAAAGUUCUAGCGGUACAACCGCUAGGAAGGCACAGCAAGAGGCGGGAGAGAAGGGAAGCUCUCUCUCUCUCUCUCUCUCUCAGCAAAAGGAAGGCAAGAGAGGGGUGAGGCAAGAGUGUACGUGAGAAAAAUCCCCAACACCUCCUAAUGUGGAUUCCCUCUUGAUAGUACGGGUUCCCUACGACCAAAGAGAUAAAAAACGUAGAAAACUCUGUCUUCGAUCUUUUCCUUCCAGAGAGAAUAGCUAACCGAUGUACGCCUAAACACUGAGUACCUGAAGCACUUAGCACACGAUUAUACCAACAAAGGGUUGUCAUCAUCAUCCAAAACACAAAGUAGGGAAAUACCCUUACACGCACAAUUACUACCGCUCGCCUCUGAUGUGUUGCAUCACAUGAACCCACGGCAGAUUUUGAUCACGGCCUUUAGGGUCUUCGCAGGUAUGUCCAUAGCCAUCAUUGCAUGUAUCAGAAAUGCGCAUAGGACUGUCGUUAUGAGUAUGAGAAGGACACUCUUCGGAAGCAGGGCCGCCCUCUAGUCCACUAGCCCCUGCAAUUGUGUGGCCAUUUGCUUGCGGAGAGUCAACGGUAAGCCCAGAUACUUGCACGAAAAGGAUGAGCUCACACAUUCGAGUGAGGAACAAACCAGCGCGACGUCCUCCCGGGAACACCUGAUUGGUACAGCCACGCUCUUCAUCAUAUUCACCGAGAGCCCUAAGAAAUGGCCGAAGGCUUGCAGGAUCAUUCCACACACGUUUACCUCUAUCUUGCUGGGCCAGAAGAAUACCAUAAUGUCAUCCGCAAACAUGGAUACCCUUUGAUGUAUACUGGAGUGAGCUAGAGGUGCAAGCAGCCCUCUUUGGGCGGCUAGAUUGAAAAGUCCUUGCAGCGGCUCCAUGCAAAGUAUAAAAUCAUCGGAGAUAGCGGGCAUCCUUGCCUCAUUCCUUGACAGUUGAGGAUAGGCCACCCAAGUAUGCAAUUUACCAUGAUUCAUGUGGAGUAAGUUGCUAAUAGACCACAUAUCCAUGCUAUCCACCUCGUACCAAAUCCCAUCCGCCUCAGCACCUCAAGCAGAAAAGGCCACUUUACCAAAUUCGAAAGCCUUUGAGAUGUCGAGCUUUAGCAUUAUCAUAGGCUCUUUAAGUGCGUGUAGCAGUCGCGACGUGUAUUGCACCAACAUGAAGUUGUUGUGUAGGGAUCAUCCACGAAUGAAGGCACUCUAGUGGUGGCCCACUAGUGUGCGUAGGUCCUCGGCCAAGCACAUUGCGAGCGCUUUGUCAAAAACCAAUAGCGAAACCUGGAUGCCCAUAUUGGUUCCUACAUAUUCUAUGAAGAUCUUUAUCGGUCGAACCUUAUGACAACAUACGUAAUUCCCUUUGUCUAUCGGUAUGCUACUAUCUCGUUACCGGCAAGUCUCUUUACUCGUUCCAUAAUACAACAUCUCGUAACUAACUCCUUAGUAACUUUGCUUGCAAGCUUCUUGUGAUGUGUAUUACCGAGAGGGCCCAAAGAUACCUCUCCGAUACUCGAAGUGACAAAUCCUAAUCUCGAUCCAUGCCAACUCAACAGACACCUUUCGAGAUACAUGUAGAGCAUCUUUAUGAUCACCCAGUUACGUUGUGACGUUUGAUAGCACACAAGGUAUUCCUCCUGUAUCCGGGAGUUGCACGAUCUCAUAGUCGAAGGAAUAUGUAUUUGACAUUAAGAAAGCAAUAGCAAUAAACUUAACCAUGUUUGAUCAACGAGCUAGUCUAGUGGAGGCUCACUAGGGACACGGUAUUUGUUUAUGGAUCCACACAUGUAUCUAAGUUUCCUAUCAAUACAAUUCUAGCAUGAAUAAUAAACCUUUAUCAUGAAUAAGGAAAUAUAAUAAUAACAACUUUAUUAUUGCCUCUAGGGCAUAUAUUUCCAUCAGGACAACCCUCUCCUUGCACAUGAUGGGCUUUUCCCCCUCAUGCAGUCCAGUGCUUACUCGUUGGGCAGCCGUGGCGAUAGUGUUACCCGACUAUGGCCCCCCUCCGGCCAGCCGAGUGAUGGGACCUGAGGGUUGGAGGGGACGUAUUUGCCUCCCCUCUGGGCGAUGGCGGUCGCGUGUUAUAGUGCUUGCGGGAAGUUCAAAUUGAGAUGCCGAGGCAGCCGCCUCGAGUGGCGGUCUACUCAAUGGGCUCUCCGGCAGUUCUCCGUAGUGAUCAUGGCGGUGCCUCUUAGUCGUGUGGACGGCAAGAGGCAUUGUGGUGGGUGCACUUGGCGCCUUGUUGUGGUAGGGGAAGGGCCCAAAGCUGGUUCUGGAGGUCCCCGUUUCCUCGCGGCGGCCGAUUGUGUGCAUGUGGCUCCUUCAUUGUAUGGGGAAGCAACCAGGUGAAAGCUCUGCACUCUGGCACGAACAAUGUUGACGCCCGGUGGUGCCGCUUUCCCCUUGAGGAUGGUGUCGUGGUUUUGCUUCCAUGUCACGGUUUUAGGUGAAAACCUUUGUCCACUUCCCCGGACGCUGCGACGACGACGCUUUGUGUCGUUUCCCUCUCGAGGGCGUGGCCAUGAAACUCAAGUGGUGUUGGUCGUGUUGUGUUGUAGUCUUUAGUUCCUCCUAUUUUCUUGCUCAGUGAUGUCGUCAUUCUGCCAAUGUAUGUUGUCUGUUUUUUCUCCUAAUUUUUGCUUCUUUGAGGGCUUCUUCAUCAUCAGGUAGUAGUCGUUCGGGCGUGUAUUUGUGCUUUAUCUAUAUAGCGGGAUGAAAAUCUUUUUCGUGUGUUCCAACAAGAAUGUAUUGUUCAACUCAUGGUCUGGUGUUGAUAUAUGAAUCAAAAGAGCCUGCACCAAGCCGAUUUUCGUUGAUCUGGUGUCACGCAAAAGGGUGUGCGAGAACAAAAUUCAGUUAACGGCAUGCUUUGGUGGGCUCCAAACUAACUAGUGCGUGCACCACCAUCCAGCAAAGCUAGACACGGCUAGACUUGACUCCAAGGCAAGCAUGAGCAGACCAGACCAGGAUGCCACUACCCCUAAACCGGCCCUGAAAAGGCCAUGGCGCCGGUUUCCGCCUUUCCGGCCACGAAUUUUUGUGCUCCGGUCGGCCUGUCGCCGCCGUGCCAACCACGGCGUUGACGCGAAACAGCAACGGUACGUAUACAACGUACGACCCUCGCUUUCACUUACCACUCUGUACUCACUCCCCUAAUCUCUACUGCCCAACUAAUGUACCGCCCCCGACUGUUCCCGAUUCAUUGACGAUCUUUAAUUAAUCAAACCCACCCCCUGUCCUCGACGGUACCGCACAACGGCACAAGAUCUGAUCUUCCGUGCCAGUGGUGCAACAUGCGAAAGCUCUGCAGUUUUAGCUUGCAAGUGAAGACCAGCUGCUGCUGCUGCAUGAGCCUUCUAGAUAACGUACUGUGCGCUGUGGAAUCGCGUGAACAACCGCGGCCAAUUAAAUCGACCGGCGGUUGCUCACGAAGCUCGCGGUUGCGAGGCAAGUUUUGCAUGGAGAGGAGGCCAUCUGUCUAUGAACUUUUGACAGAAUGUGAUCUACGUUGGCAGCCGUGUUUUACACGGCGCAUUCAGUUGAGUGGCCAACUUUUCACCGGCUACCAACCCUGGCCCUCACGGCGCCUGCUUUCCUUCACGUCAAUUCCAUGCAUGCUUUACCUUUCCUUAAUUCUUACUGUCCUUUUCCGGUACAAACAAAAACAUUUACCCACCUACCUCCGUAUGGAUUCUGAUCAAAACGAUGCCAUUCCACGCUGCAAGCGACCAAAUGACAUCCAUUUGCAUGACGAAACGAAGGAUCAGACAGAGUGAUCACUCAUCAGUCUGAGUCAGCUUCAUAUCAUAAUCAUAGUAGUAUAAGGGAAAGAGGGCCCCUCUUACUGCUGACAGUGACACUGGAGACUCGGGAACCGCGCUGCAAGCUGCCGGCCCGCGCUAGGCGCUCAAAUGGUUCCUCCUGUCCACGUGGUUUCUUGUUAAUUAUUGGUCACAAUGUUCACGCUAUAAUUCAGAUUUUUCGAGUCAACAUUAUGAGGAGCCUAACCUGAGAGUUCCUGAGCCUCUGGUCUGGGCGUCCGUACAUUACCCCGCCCACAUUCAGCGCUUUGCUAGUUUUUACUCCCUCUGUAAACUAACAUAAAAGCGUUUAUAUUAGUCUACGGAGGGAGUACUAUCCUUCAUCAAUCAAUAAUUGAUGCACGUAAGUAGUACGUGAGUGAAGAGUUUUAUUUUCGAACCGGGCUACUAGCUUCUUUUCCAUUGCAUUUUCUACGAAAACAACAGCGGCGAUUGACACAACAACAAUAUAUUCUUGGAGACAUUUCCGGCUACGUACGCAAGACGAAGUAGUAGUACAGUAGUAGUACCAUAACUUCAUUGCAACAGCCGGCAGCUCCGGUAGUUGACCUGUAUUUAUUAAAAAUAAAUCAGUACUCCCAUUUUCCCUCGAGAGCAACAGCAUAAUCUUAAUCCGGCAUUUAACCCGGCAAGGUUUGACAUAUGCUCCCAAACAAGAGGUGAACUUCUCAUCUUGCGGUUGCUGCUCGUACGUUAGCUAGGUGUAUUCACAAGCUUUAUUUGUGCCUACCUAAACGUCUAUACAAUGAACACUGUAUGAGGAAUAUUGUUCUUUGAAAUGGCGGCUCCUAUCAUCACAGGAGGAUGCAGGAAAAUGGAUGAGGAUGCAGGAGAGGCCACCGAAUACGGAGAAGGACAGUGGCGUCGACGACGUAUGAUCAGCUUACCGGAGGAGAAGUUGGCCAGAGGACAAAAAAAUCAAUGCGUCUGCUGAUAGGGGGCGAUGUCUAUCUCAAUCCCAGAGAAACAAAUGACGCCAUCAUUAAAACUCCAAUAGCUGACUCCUUCAGUACAUGAUUUAGACAUCUUCCCUCGAGCAACCGCCGAAUCCACGGUAACGAAAAAUAUUUACGUAGUUCUCAAUAAAAAUGGCAGGGGUUGUUAGGGCCUUUUUUUUCUUCAAUGCUAGCUUUGUUACUUUAUAAGCAACACUUACAUCGUUCGCGAGUUUUCCGAGUAAGCAAGUAUAUGGGGGAUGAUCGUCCAGAUACAAGAAAGAUUAUUUCGACCACUAAAGCUAGCAAGUCCAUGAGCAACGCCUUUAGUUUCUUCAGGACAAUGUUUGUAUUCAACAGUCCCAAUUAGCACCGCCGUGUCCACACAAUCCGCAUAAAUUGCCGUUUUCCGAGUCCCACCUUUGUGAUUGGCCUUUAGAGAAAGUGAUCGCUUCAUAGAGUCGGAUUCCGCCUGCAACAUAUUGAUCCCAAGGGAGUAUGCAAGGUAGACCCCAUCCUUCAUGGUUAGUGCUUCCAUAGUCGCCGCGUCUAGUGGAUAUGCAUAGAAUGUGCACUUUGCCGCAACAAAGAAUCUGUUCACAUCUCUCAAGAUCGAUGCCGGUGCUCUCCUGCGCAAAUCAACAUAGAAUGUGCAAUAUAUUUCAAUAAGAUGUUGCACCGGGAAUAUGUUGCAAUAUGUAUCAAUAUAUUUGAUUGUAUGAAACAUUUGGAUUAAUAAUAUAUAUAACUAAAAACAAAUAUAAUGUAUUGUAUUGGAUUAUUGUGAAGUUAAAAAAUAUUUAUCGAGUAUAGGUUGUAAUAUAAUAGUUUUUUUUCAUGCAUGUUGGGUGGACCUUCGAUAAGAGGACAUGUGUGCAUUUGAAAUAAAUAGAAUUGGUGGGGAUCAACUAAUAAUGAAAUAUAAUUGCCGUGCAUGUGAUGGUGGAACUUUGAUGACGUGUCAUGUGUGCAUAUUCAGAUUAUAGAAGUAGUGAGGAUGGACUAUUUCGGUAUAUAGGAUAGACAUAUGUGUUUUUUCUUUCCAUCACUAAUCCUUUCCGGGAUUCGAUACAAAAAGAAUUUAGAGCAAUCACUCCCAUCAACUCCGACUGAAGCGGGUAGAGCCAAAUAACGAUCAGAAAGUGCUUUCGUGUCAAUAUGAAAUUGUAUAUCUCAGGGGUAUUUCAACAUUACUUGUAUCCCAACUUCAUAUUCAGAAGAAAAGAAAAAAUGUAUUGUGACUGAAAAUAUACUGGACUUUUCUCUACUCGCCCAUUUGCAACAGUACGUGUGAAAUCUGAAUCCAUGGCAAAAAGAAACACCAAACUAUUCAAAGUUCUUUUUUUGGACGAACUAUUCAAAGUUGCAGCAAGUAGAGUCUCCCUCCGAAUCAACGGUCCCCUAUCUUCUCCCGUUUAACCCACACGGCGACAGUCGACGGUCGCCAGGCGCGGCCGCCGGGCGCUCCCUCCCGCCAGUCCACUUCAUUUUUACCCAUUUGGAAGCAUCUGAGAUUCCGGGGCCGAACGCGGUCCGGUCCACGUUCCACAGCCCCACCCCACCCCACACCGACCGGCCAGCCGCGCGUACGCAGGUUGCCGCCGCACCGAGCACCGCAGCGCUCGCCCCAGGCCAAACCCGUGGCACCCGCAGCUCGUUUCUGGGCCUCGGAGACGAGCGGCGAUAUCGACUUGGUAUAAAGAUAAAGCGUCCGCGAGAGGCAGCAGCAGACCCGAGCACCGCACCGCACCGCGAAGCCCAGCGAAACCGCGAGCGCGUGCAUGCGCGCCGCCGAGGAAUAGAAGGAGAUAGAGGUGGUCACCGCGGCGGGCGCGCGGGCGUACGACAAGCCGAGCCAGCCCACGGGGCGCGACGGGAAGAGAUAGCAAGCGAGCUGAGCGCGUAUCAUAAUACAAGCGGCCGCACCGCAACUACCAUUGCAGCCCCCACCGAGAGCAGAGCCCCGGGUUAUUUUUAUUCUGCUUCUUCUUCCUCUUGCACGUCUCGCGGGCGGGGGCGCGGGGAGCGGCCAUGUGGACGCCGUCGCGCGGGAGCAACGCGCGGCGGACGGGCCACCGGCGCAUCGCGGAGUGCCUGGCGGACGACCAGACCACCAACACCGACACCUCCGACAACGAGUCCUUCACCACCGCCUAUGGGGACGAGUUCUUCGCCGCGGCCGCCGGGGGGAGCGGCGGCGGGGGCAUGCUCCCGGCAUUCCUCGCCGACCAGGAGGACCUGGUGGAGGUCAUGCUGGAGCUGGACGAGGAGUCCAUGGUGGUGCGCAGCGUCACGCCCACCAGGGCCGCGCUCUACAGCGCCGCCGCGAUGCCGCACACGCCGGAGGCGCCGGGAGGAGGCGGCGGCCCCCUCAGCCGCUGCUCGUCCACGUCCUCGCGGAUACGGAAGAAGUUCGCGUGGCUGCGGUCGCCGUCCCCCGCGCCGUCGCCCUCCCCGCGCGUGCCCACGCCCGCCGAGCUGCAGCGGGAGGCGGCCAUGGCGGCCCGCGAGCGGCGCCGCAUCCAGGCGCGGGUCAACCGGUCGCGCGCCGGCGCCAAGCGCGCGCUCAAGGGCCUCCGCUUCAUCAGCCGCACCACCGGCUCCCUGGAGGCCGCGGAGCUGUGGCGCCGCGUGGAGGAGCGCUUCAAUGCCCUCGCCCACGACGGCCUCCUCUCCCGCGACAACUUCGGCGAGUGCAUCGGUACACCAUCCCGCUCCCCCACUCUGUUUCUCUCUCGGCAACAACCGCACUCUGCACUCCUCCCAUCCCAUUGCGCAACCAUUAACGGCGAUGAUGUUCUUGGCCGUGCCUGUCGAUCGAUGAUCAGGAAUGGUGGACUCGAAGGAGUUCGCGGAGGGCAUCUUCGACGCGCUGGCGCGGCGGCGGCGGCAGAGCCUGGAGCGGAUCACCAAGGAGGAGCUCUACGACUUCUGGCUCCAGAUCUCCGACCAGAGCUUCGACGCGCGGCUCCAGAUCUUCUUCGACAUGUAAGCACCACCACCGGAACCGAAUUCCCCACCCAUACUACAUUUUCCUUCACCGGAUCCCAAGCAACCGCUUUUAGCCGGCCAUUCCCGGCUUCCGAUGCAAGCUCCCGCGUCCCGGAUUCUCGAUGCUCAUUCUUCCUCUUGUUUUGCCCCAAAUUCAACUCAGGGUGGACACCAACGUGGACGGGAGGAUCACGAGGGAGGAAGUACAGGAGGUGAUCUUCGUUUCUCCAUUGCCAUAGCGUUUAAGAAGCUCCUUCUCCAAUUACAGUCACGCUUGCUGUUACUGUUACUAGUUAGUUAGUUAAUUACCGCUGCGGUAACUGUCACGGCUUUGCUGUUACUUUCACGUGCGCCGCCGCUGCUGCUGCUUCUGCUUCACUCGUCGAGUCCAAAGUAGUAAAAAAUUCUCGCUGAAGAAACUUUGAUCUUUGUUUUGUCCGAGCAGCUGAUCGUGCUGAGCGCGUCGGCGAACAAGCUGGCGAAGCUCAAGGAGCAGGCGGAGGAGUACGCGGCGCUCAUCAUGGAGGAGCUCGACCCGGAGAACCUCGGCUACAUUGAGGUGCGUACAAUACGUGUACUCGUGUGGACUUAAUUGUACACAGUACGUACGCAGCUACGUGGACGACUGGAUGACACGUGUGAUGGCUUUUUGUGCAGCUGUGGCAGCUGGAGACGCUGCUGCUCCAGCGCGACACGUACAUGAACUACAGCCGGCCGCUGAGCACGGCGAGCGGCGCGCAGUGGAGCCAGAACCUCGGCGUGGGCGCCGGCGGGGCCGUGCCGCCCGCCGCCAAGGGGGAGGAGGACGGCAGCGGCACGCAGACGUGGGGGGAAGGGAUGAGGGAGCGGCGGCGCGGGUGGGGCCGCGGCGUGGCCAGGGCGGCGUCGCACGUGCGGGUGGCGGCGGAGGAGAACUGGCGGCGCGCGUGGGUGCUGGCGCUGUGGGUCGCGGCCAUGGCGGCGCUGUUCGUGUGGAAGUUCGUGCAGUACCGGCGCACGGAUGCGUUCCAGGUGAUGGGCUACUGCCUGCCGACGGCCAAGGGCGCCGCCGAGACGCUCAAGCUCAACAUGGCGCUCGUCCUCCUCCCCGUCUGCCGCAACACGCUCACCUGGCUCCGCUCCUCCUGGGCCCGCUUCUUCGUCCCCUUCGACGACAACAUCACCUUCCACAAGGUAGUACCUUCCCUUCUUUCCAGUCGUUAUUAGUAACUGAGGUAGACUGGCGGUGGCUACCGUCACCGGGACUCUGACGCGGCGCGGUGGUGCGUCGUGUAGCCGGGGGGAGCGUGGCGCGCAAUGAUUGGCGCGUAACGUGGAACGCCGGCGCCCCUGGAUCAUGCGUGCCGCCCAUGUGGUCGCUCGAGUCCUCUUAUCACUCCACCCAGUGCUGCCAUGGCAUGGAGCUAGUGAUCCUACUGGAGUGUAGCUGACCGAAUGUGGCGAGCAACGUGCACCAGACGCGGGUCAGGUUCAGGUGGUAACAAGGAAUGCUUGUCCGUUUCAGAUGAUCGCGACGGCGAUCGUGGUGGGGAUCACGCUGCACGCGGGGAACCAUCUGGCGUGCGACUUCCCGCGGGUGAUCGCGUCGGGGCCGGAGGAGUACCGGCUGGUGGCGGGCGCGUUCGGGGCGUCCAAGCCGACGUACGGGCGGCUCAUCUCCGGGGUGGAGGGCGUGACGGGCAUCGCCAUGGUGGUGCUCAUGACCGUCUCCUUCACCCUGGCCACCCACCCGUUCCGCAAGGGCGAGAAGGAGGCCUCCGCGUCGCGGCUGCCGGCGCCCCUCCACCGCCUCGCCGGCUUCAACGCCUUCUGGUACUCCCACCACCUCCUCGGCUUCGUCUACCUCCUCCUCCUCGCCCACGGCUACUUCCUCUUCCUCGUCCGCCGCUGGUACGAGAAAACGGUACGCGCCCACCCGCCCACGUUUUUUGUUUUUCAUUCGUUCGAGCACACGUAUCUCUCGCGAGGCCGACGGUGCUCUGGUCCGCGCUCGGUCGCUUUAUUCGCGGACGCCGUUGUGGAGCGGUUUGGUUCUGUUCUCUUCGGCCUAGUAUAGUGGUGGUGCUUUACGUUGCCAUCUUCGCUUUACAUUUCUGAUGAUGAGGAGGAAACGUGUUGCCGUCUUCUAGAAAACGGAUCGAUCCAUCAUGUCACGCUCUCUCCCCGCGCCCAUCAGGCCCGGAACGGCCCUUGCCGACUUGCCGUUACCCGUGACAGGAACCGGGCGCCAAGAAAAGAAAUAAGAAUGUUUUUUUUUUGCGGGUAAGAAAUAAGAAUGUUGAGAGGAGGAUCGUGCCUCUUCCUCGAAAAAGUCCGGCCAUGUGAUGUGACCCCGACAGUAAAUAGAAGGCGAAGCCGAGAUAUUUUUAUAUAAGAAAUUUUAAGGAGAAUACUAUACACUCGUUAGUCUGAAAACAUGGUAGUAGUAGCUGCCUGCAUGUGCUAGACGAUUUAAGUAUUGAUGUCGGUGGCGACGGGGUCAAACCGGAGGUGAGCCGUGCAAUGCAUGACAGCCCAGCUAUUCCGUGCUCCGCCCUGUACUCCUACGGGGUAUGGGGUCGGCAUGGUGGUCAGUCUGUCCGGUUAGGAUCAUAAAUGUGGGCCGCGUUCGACGACUUGGCGCGAGGUAGGCAGAGGUAUCACCCGCACUAGGCGUGUGGUAGCUGCUGACGCGCGACGCCACGGCCCACUGAUGUGUGUCGGUAGGAGUCUGAGGCUCUCGAUCCACGACGAACGGAUCCCACUGUGCUGCUGACUGCCGAGCCAUUCCGGUCUGCGCCCGUCUCCUUGUUCCACUCACCACUAGGUCGUGUUGCCAGCUCCGCAAUGUUGACGUCGCCGGAGCACCGUCUGGACGCUUGCCAUCUCAUCGUGGAGACUGAACCCUUGCCAUUUGCGCGCAUGUGUGCCACCAUGAUAAACAUGGUUAGGAAACGCAGAUAAGAUAAGAGUCUCGGUGAUCAUGGUCCUAUGUUUGCUUGCUGGUGGAUCUAGCCACGAUGACUUUACAGCAGGCAGGGCGUUUCGUUUUGUAUUGGGUGCUGAAAUGGGUGACCAUCGCUAACGCUAAUCAUCAAGAUAGAUAGAGUAGGAGUGUAGAUUAGAUUAGAUCUGUCUAUUAAUGCCAUGAAUAGCCGUAAGCUGCUUUACAGAAGGCAGCACUGUUGUCAGUACUGGAGUGGAGUGGUAGCACUCUCCACGAAAUAAAUCUCCCAUCCAUAAUCCGUUCAUUCAUCACCGAAUAACAUGGGCUGAUCCAUCACCAAUAAAUGGACAACCAGGCGUCAUCCUAAAGCCCAACGACUUUACUGCCCCACCCUGCACGAGCGAGUGAGGGAGAGGCGGUCACAAACUCCUCACAACCAUCUUAGUAAUUACCACCGCCCCACAUAAUGAUCCAGCACCCCAAAUCUGCAAGGAGUGAUCCAUCGAUGAUCAACUCUGCCUAAGGCCUCUUUUGGUUCAUAGGAUAGGAUUAUCGUAGGAAUAGGAAUUUUGUAGGAAAUGAGAUGGCAUGUAUGUCAAAUCCUAUGAGUAGGAAUAGGAAAGGAGAUGUCAUUUGGUUGACAUCAAAGGAAUUUUUCCAUUGAGUCUAGGUUCUUUUUUAUUUUCCUAUGAAAUGUGGAGGAUAGGAACCAAUCCUGUGUAGAAAUAGGAAUCUAUUCCUAUGAACCAAAGGGCUCUAAAGGAAAAAUUCCUAUCCUAUGAAAUUCCUGCAAACCAAAGGAUUAGCCUUUAAGCUUACGAUGAUGAACUCUGCCUUGGUCUUGGCUCCAAGCACUGACAAGGAGUAGUAUGGCACUGCUGCUUUUCCUUAUUUUCUUCCUUUCCGGGUUCCUCCAUAUAUAUCUGGAGUGCCACAUUGUCAAAGGAGCCACUGGCUUUGACCCCAGGUCACAUGGCGUUCGAAGAUAGUAUAUUCCGGCCCACCUACUGCCCCCGGCCGUGAGCCCGCGACGACGCGACGAACGGCACCGACCGGCAGCUUUCCUCCCCCCACAUUUGCCACGAACUCCUCACUCCCGUCCAUGGACAUGUGGACGCUGCCGCCUCGGACCUUUCCCCCGUUACGCACGCCACUAAUUUUGGCUUGCUCGGUGCCCAUUACCAUCUCACCCAACUCUGAAUUAUGGUAGCCAGGAUAAGAUUAAGUGCUUUUUUCCCUGGUGGCUUCGCUUUGUAAAUGGGUGUGCUUGUACUACGUGACCAGUGACCCCCACUCGAGAACAAUGUUAAGGUGACAAUGGCCUCAUUGUACGUACUCACAUGCUGUGCGGUUGCGGCAGCGUCUCAAAAUUAAAAUUAUUGCCGUGCCUCCGGGGCCAAGGGUAGGGGCUGAGUUCCUUCAAAAAAAAAAAGGGGGUAGGGGCUGAGUUGUAAAGGUAGAGGCAGGGGACGGAUGGUCAUGGGGUGGGGUGGGGGUGGCAUCUCUCUAGGGAUCGGAUCCGAUUAAAGAGGCUGUCUAGCAGCUAGUGAAAGGCAAAAGAGGAAGGAAGAGAGAGAGGGGCCUCGAAUCGCGUGAUGGUGAAACUUCCCGUGCAAUCCAUCAUCCAUGGGAGGGAGUGUGCGCUUUGGGGUUUCACCGCUUUUCCUUUUUUUUUCUUCCCUUUCCGCCGGGCAUUUCUGUAGUGGGAUCCAUGCGCUGCUGCCCGCUGCGUUCUCUGAUGCGCUUUGCGAUCUCCAAAUGCUUUUGCUUCUCUGAAAUUUUCUCUGCUGGAUAGAGAUAGAGAUUCAGUGGCAAGUUAAACCAUUUUGAGACGCAUCAUGGGGGUAGGAUCUUAAUGCAUUUUACUGCGGGCAGGUAAGCGCCAUUUGCACACUAAUACUAAGAAGGUUCGGGUGUCAGAGAGGAAUCCCAUGUUCAGCACGUUCUUGGUGGUUGUGCUCGCAACAGUACAAGCCUACUUAACAUGCUUGCUAAGCUCAACUCUACCAAUAUUAUAUCCACCCCGGGGGUUUUUAAACUCGGCCUGUCGCGCCGUUCUAGAAGCACCAAGUAAUCUGACAGCUGCCAACUCGAGUGGCUUCAUUUUUCUUCUAGAUAAUGUCUUGGGGCACAUAUUGUCUACGAAGUCUCGUUUGGAGCAUUAGUGCAUUACCAUGUGCAAAUUUCUACUCGGAACAGUAUCAUGUGGAAACAGCGGUGUUUGUAGUCCGCCAUGACUUCUGCACUACGCUCAAUCAUUGCAAACGGCUGGCCCUUGUUUGGAGCAUUCGGUGCUGCGUUGAUGAUCACCGCAGCAGCCCGCUGACAUGGUGUGAUUGAUUUCUUCUCUUGGUGUUUUUUCAGACAUGGAUGUACAUUUCGGUCCCUCUGGUGCUCUAUGUCGGCGAGAGGAUGCUGCGAGCCUUGCGGUCCAAUGCUCAUACUGUCAAAAUCAUCAAGGUAAGUUGGUAACAGAAUCAGGGUAAAAAAAGUAGGUAACAGAACUAGAUUCCUGAUGAUUAUAAGUGGGUGGAUUUCUUAGAUGCAAGUAUCCAGCACUAGCUUCCAUCGAUAAAAAAAACGAUCGAAAGAAGAUGCACCACUAAUAUGAUAAUUGUGUGCUGCUACUAAACUUUUGCACAAAUGAGCCUGGUCUUCAGGCACCAAGUGCCUUCAUACACACAGCACUAGUAUUAAUGGAUUGGUUGGUGUGUGAUAAGACUAAAACAGUUCCAUCAACAUCUGGAGGCAAUUUCUAAAAAUGGUCAAUGCUGUGUUGGUCUUGUGGGAUACAAAUGAUAUUGCCACUAUAAAACAUCCGCAGUGGAAUAUAGUCUCUACUCGCGCAUUUCUGUCCUUUUCAAAUUGGCUGUCCCUUUAUAUCAGCCUCCUUAUACAAAAGUUCCACGAUUUCAGGUUGAUUAUUCAUUGUUUAUUCUUCACUGAGGGCUCCUCUGCCUGUUGUAGUAUCAAUUUUUUUUUGUCUCUGAAUCAAUAGGUUCAAUCAUUAGGAUUGGCAUGAAUAAGAACACAGUGGUUUUUUAUUACUCCCUCCUUCCAUCUAUAUAGGGCCUAAUGUGUUUUUCAAGACCGCCUUUGACUAUUGAUAAAAUUAAUACUACAUGACAUGCAUAAUGUGAAAAUUAUAUUAUUGAAAGCUCCUUUCACAUACGAAUUUGAUGAUGUGCUUUGUGUAAGUUGCAUGUCAUAUAUUAUUGCUCUAACAUUUGGUCAAAGUUAGCCUCGAAAAACGCAUUAGGCCCUAUAUAGAUGGAAGGAGGGACUAUAUUAGUCAACCUGUUUAAUGAGUUUGAGAUUUUUUUACUAUAUCAUUUUAGGGGGUUAAAUGUUAUUCUGAAAUUUAUAUAGGAAAUAAUGUACACGCAAUAUUCAUCCAUUUACCAGAAUAUGUUCACAUGCAUGGAACUAGGUAACCAAGUGCAUGUUCUUAUAGAAACUUGAUUCACUCAGGUGAUGCUUCUACCUGGAAGUGUACUGACAAUACAAAUGUCAAAGCCCUACGGAUUUCGAUAUAGGAGUGGACAGUAUAUCUUUCUUCAGUGUCCGACGAUCUCUCCAUUUGAAUGGUGUGUACAGCCUUCUUGCUUCUCUACUUGGCCUAGUCUUUAGCACGGCAAUUCACCUUGCUUCUGCUCUAUUUUUCUUCUUCAGGCAUCCUUUCUCCAUCACCUCAGCUCCUGGAGAUGACUACCUCGCUGUUCACAUUCGCACAAAUGGAGACUGGACGCAAGAGCUCAAGCGCAUAUUUGCCGAGAACCACUACUCGCUGCACAUGAACAGAAGAACUUCAUUCAGCGAGUUAGGCGCGGCAGAACCUAGAACCACUGUCCCACCAAAAUUGCUUGUAGAUGGUCCAUAUGGUGCCCCUGCACAGGAUUUCAGAAACUACGAUGUUCUGCUUCUAGUUGGCCUUGGAAUUGGAGCAACACCGUUCAUAAGCAUUCUAAAGGACCUACUUAACAAUAUUAAGCUUGCUGAUGAGCUGAUGGUAUUUGCUUCAACCUAUUUUGUUUGCAUUUUGACAGUUUCCUGAGAUAGCUUACAUGAUUUUCGGUAACUAUCAGGACUUGGCAAUGGAGACUACUCAAACUAGUAGGUCUGAGGACAGUGCCAACAGCUUCAGUGUCUCAACAGCUAGCAGCAACAGGAAGAGAUCAUAUAGAACAAGCCGCGCACAUUUUUACUGGGUUACUCGCGAGCCCAUGUCGUUUGAAUGGUUCAAAGGAGUGAUGAAUGAGGUUGCCGAAAUGGACAAGAAGGUAGGAGUGCAUGCCUUCCUUUUACAGAUAACCCAGCAAUGUUUUUUACUUCACUGAUGAAUGAACUACUCGUCAUGCAAUCUUAACCAGGGUGUCAUAGAGUUGCACAAUUAUCUUACGAGCGUGUAUGAGGAGCGUGAUGCACGAACAACUCUGCUGUCGAUGGUCCAAGCUCUGAACCAUGCUAAACAUGGUCUCGACAUCGUCUCGGGCACCAGGGUAAACUUUCUUUCUUUCAGUUAUUAAUGGAUCACAAUAUUCACCAUAUAAGCACGUCUUCAAGUAUCCACAAACUAUCUGAUGAUUAGUUUGUGUUUUCAUGUCUGCCUCCCUGCAACUGAAACAUUUGCUGUGCACUUGACAGGUGAGGACACACUUUGCCAGGCCAAACUGGAGGGAAGUCUUCACCAAAAUCGCCGCCAAGCAGCCGAAUUCAACAGUUGGUAUGAUCUCUCGCUCAGACAUUCUAUCCACUAGCAUCAGUUGAUAUCAGCAACAACAUUACAUUCCUAAAAUCAAGUUUUUUCGAUAAAAUCAACUCCACACAUUCACUUGCUCACCAAGGAUCAUUCUGGUUCGUGCAGGAGUGUUCUACUGCGGCGCGCCGACGCUGGCCAAAGAACUGAAGAAACUGUCUCACGAGAUGAGCCACAAGACGUCGACGCGCUUCCAUUUCCACAAGGAGUACUUCUGAUGGGAAGAAGCAUUGAUUCUUCUGAUCUGCAAAAUAGCGUUAGGCACCGGUAAAGAAGGAGGAAAUUUUUUGCACAGAAGCAAAGCAAACUGACCUCUCUCUCUUCCUGAUCUGGAACUGUACAUAGUAUAAAGAAGAACGGCCUGUUAGGGGAGGGUAGUUAGUGCCAUUUAUAAUAUAUAUUAUUAACAAAAAAGAAAGUAAAGGGAGGCUGAUGUAUCCAAAAGGAGAAGGAAAGAGGCAGGGUAAAGAGUUGGGUUAAAUUUCAGAUAUACUAAUAUACAUGUACACAGUAUAGUUGUAGGUAGUUACGUAUGAAAUGCUAGCUAAAGCAUAUGUACAAGGGCCGGAGGCUGCCAUUCUGAAUGUAAAUCUUCCGGGCAUUCAUUCAUGUGUGCAUCUGUGCCUAUCGGCUGCUGGUAAUAAACUCAGGUGUAUUGACACUUUCUUCCUUGGGAAUGCGAUCUUCUAUGGAGUACCGGAAAUGGGAAGAAAGAUGGGAAGUGUUAACCGGGAACGUUCCCCGGGGAGGUCUCGGGGGACACCCACACAGUUAUUGGAUCCAGAUCACGCGGAUGGCAACAACAACAAAAUCGCUAGCAUUUUCUUGCAUUACAUGGCAGUUUUCUCUUUUGAUCAUGGCAAGUCACGUAAAGUUGUAAAGUUGCCAUGGCAACUUUAGUUAAAACUGCACGACAAUUUGAGAGUUUGUAGGGAAAAAACGCUCCCGCCAGAUAUUGGUGUCUAGACUAGAAAGAUAGAGCAGAAAAGUGGGAGCGAGCAAUAUGGAACAACUGGCCGAGUGAGUCAGUGAUCUUCUUUACGCCACGCGAGCCCGUGCCUGAAGGCCAACGGUCUCACGGUGGUGGCCUUGUCGGGUUUCCAUUUAAAUUACCUUUUUAUACUCAAACUUCAAAUAAAUAAUAUACUUUAUAAUAAUUUUACAAAUCAGUUUUAAAAAAGAGGGAAAAUAUGAGUUGUGAAUGAGCAAAUGCUGAAGUGUAACAAAAAUAAUUAUGCUGAAAAAGAAAUGUUCAUGCACUAGGAAAAAUAUGUUCCUAUGCGUUAAAAACUGUUCAUAUAAAUAAAAAUAACAUGUUCAUGGUAUGGGAUUGUGUUAUAAAGUAAAGUUCAUGUGAAUGAAAAAAAUCUUCAUGCAUAUAAAAAAUGUUCUUGUAUUUCUUAAAAAUUCAGGUGGCAUAAAAUAAAAAGAAUUAUAAUGAAACACAAGGAAAAUAAACAAAAAAGAAUAAAAGUGGAAAGGCCAAAAAUAGAAAAUUAAACAACAACAACAACAACAACAACAACAACAACAACAACAACAAUAACAACAACAAAAAACUGCAGUUGAGGCACCCUUAUUGGGCAUUGUUGUAGGCAACGCUGCCUUAACGACUACUGCGGUCAGCGUAUAGAAUUGCUAUGUCACAAAAUGACUGAACAUAUGCGAAAACAUGGCAUUUUGCUUAUUGAGAGCACAAAGGAGGGCAAAUAACGGGAGCGAGAGCUACUUCUUGCCCGUACCGAGCCCUAAUUCGCUCUUGUCUCUGGUUCGGCACUACUAGGCCGACCUAGUACUGUACCUUACGCGCGAGUUUUUUCUCCGUGGUUUGCUUAUCCGGAUUUCACUGUCCGCAAUGGUGUUUUCUGGUUUUCUUCAGUUUCUUUUUUCUUAAAUUUUUAUUUAUUUAUUGGUUACCUUUUGUUUUUUACUCUUUUCUCGUCCUUUUUAACAUAUUAUACAUUUUUCAUACACAUUGCAUAUUUUUUAUAUGCCUCGGGAAUAUUAUUUUUAUAUACAUUUAAAAAUUUAAAUACAUGAUUAACUUUUAAAAUAUAUAUAUGUGUUGAUGUCUACUUUUUCAUACACAUUUUACAUUUUUCCUAUACAUCAGUAACAAUUUUUAUACAUUUUUAUCAUAUUUUAAAUACAUGAUUAUUGUUUUUUCUUCAAAUAUAUAUCUUGAUGUCUAUUUUUUCGUACACAUUGUAAUUUUUUUGUAUACAUCAGAAACAUUUUUAUACAUGUUUAAUAUUUUUAAAAUACAUGAUUAAUAUUUUUCAAAUAUGUAUUUUGAUGUCUACAUUUUUCAUGCAUGUUUUACAUUUUCCACAUACAUCAGUAACAUUGUUUAAUACAUGUUUAAUAUAUAUUCUAAACACGAUUAACAUUUUCUGUAAUGUCACAUACUUUUCUUGAAAUGCGUGAACAUUGUUUUAACGUUACAAUCUUUUUUAACGCUAUCUACAUUUUUUUCAACGCUAAAAAAGUUCUACACUGCGUUAAAAUUUGAAAAUUCAUUUUUAACAAUUUUAACAAGUUAAGCUUUGGAAUAUUUUUGAAAAUUUAAAUAUUUGGGCGUGACAAUGAGCACAUCUAUUUUUUCAAUUUUUUUAACAUUUGCAAAAUAUAUUUUUAGCGAGCAGGAGCGUAUGCUCCCUGGAGCCAUGUGUGCAUGUGAUCUUGCCUCGUUUGGAACCAUGAGUUGCCGUGAGGAUGGGAAUUUCCUUAACCAUGCUAAAAACAUUAAUGUUUUAUUUGUAGCGAAAUCUAAUUUUAUUAGCCUAUCUAAUUUUGUAUUUGAUGAUAUCAAGACACGUCCAACGUGGCCGCUUGGAGAGAUGCGCCACGAUUGAUUUCCUGGUCGAUCAACACGUGGGUGGUGCGCUAGAUGAGUCAUCGGCGAAAAAAGAAAGAACCGGGUGCUUGAGCCUAUUUUACAGUGUGGGACAAAAUGAUCAGUGCAGAGGCCAAUUUUUAGCGCAUGUUUGUUACAGUAGCGUGUAGCAUUGGAACAUAUAGCCAUCAAGUGGUCUUUCAAUUUUAUGAUAUAUUUUUAUUUCCCUUAGCGCCUCUUUAAGCGUUUUGCAUUGAAGAUGACCUUAGUAUUGUAUAUGCAGUAGGGGAGCACAAAAAAGCAGUGGUGGAUCUAGGGUUCAAGCUCGGGGCAUGAGGCCAGAUCCUUUAUAUCAUGUAGCAAUUGCUACAGUACAUGAAGGCGGCCCGGGGCGGCCUGCUGGGCUGGAUCCGCCCCUGCAAAGAAGAGACGGGGUGGCAUGAAUUUCAUGUGCGUUGAUUUUUAUUUGCCUUGUGCCAUUAUGUAUGAUGUGAAUCUCAAAGAUGCUUGCAGCUUCACUGGAGUACCAAAGGGGAUGGGAUUGAAUAAUCAUUAAGUGGAAAUUAACCCACCUACCAAAGUAUAUGUCCAAGCAUAUUCCCAUGGUAUAUUUACUCAUAGUGCAGAUAUAUUCCAGGCAACAAAAGAAAUGCAGAUCUACAAAAAGUUAAACAUAAACAUCUCAUUCAUAAUCCAGACAAGGAUUUAAGUCUGUAUAAUCACCAAAUAAUGAUUCAAUGCUACUAUUGAUUACUUUGUUAUUUAGACAGUGGUAUUGAUUGGAAAGCAACACAUGGUGUUGUUUUCUCCACCACCACCAAAAGGUCCCAAACCAAGAGUUUUAUGUGGCUUCAGAAGUAGUGACAAACUGGCAUGACAUCGAACAAAAUAAUAUUAGUACAACAAUGAAUUAGAAAAAAAAACAAGGAGUACUGCUUGCCACUACAUGAUAUUGAAAGAUGGUUCACUGUAUUCAAUUGGGAAAAGCAGUGAAUCAUUUAGCGGCAACUUUAUCACUCGAGCAAUUAAUAAGACGGUUUUGUCUUCACAUCACUAUGAUUACAUAGCGUUGUCUGCAACAUCAUCACUAUGAUUACAUAGCGUUGUCUGCAACAUCAUGUAUGGAAAACAAAAGUCCUUGCCUAAGAAAAUUGUUGUGUAUUAAUAGUAUAGUACUAUUACAAAUACCAGGCUCUAAGGGCAACUCCAAUGCAGAUCACCAAGUCGUUCCUGAAUGUCUGGACCAGAUGGUUCAUGCAUUUUUGACCAUCCAAUGGAAGUCACUAAAUGUCCGCGGCUCAAUCCAAACAACCCAAAUCCCUCAAACUGGAACCAAAAAUUGGGGAAGAGUUGGACAAGUCCAGACAUUCGGCUGGCCCUCUUAUUACUUGGUCUUUUUCUCUUGGUCCGCCUCACCGCUGUAAGUCACUAGCCCACUGUCCAGAUUUGAUGACUACGGUUGGAUGGCCGGUUUCCCUACCGUUGUCCAUGGACACAUCCGAACAUUUUCUCGGACAUUUGGUGUUGUCAAUUUGGUGACAGUGUUGGAAUUGCCCUAAUGUGGGAACUAGAAACACAAAAUUUGAGCGUUCAGUUGUGCACGCAUCUCAUAUUGAAUGAAGAAAAAACUGGAAAUUUUCAAGUUUGUGUAGAAAAAAACAUGGACAUUGGGCAUGAUAUCCAAUAUUCCAAUAUGUAAUUAAACAUGCAAAAUUCCAUCAAAAAUAUGAUAAUUUAUGCACCACAUAAAGUAUGCAAGAACCAAGAGAUAUUCCUUGAUUAAAAAAUUUGCAAGUUCACAUCGGCAACAUUCUUGAUUUUUUCUUGCAAUUUUGAGAAAGAUAUCUCAUCCAAGGGAGGAUUGAAUCUAAAUUUUCAUUUGUCCUGAGAGCUGAAACGAAUGCUGAUCAUUCUUCAGCCUCGUCCCUCUUCUUUUUUUCAACAUGUCAACGGGGAGGGGGGGGGGAGGGUCUCUAUUCAAAGAAAAAUGAGCCGGUUUAUGAGAAAAACCAGGUCGAAAACCGUGAUCCGGUUUAUAAGGAAGACCAAAUCAAAAACCUUCAUCUAGUCUAUAUGAAAAACCGGACUCGAAUACCAUACAACCAUACGCGCAAAGAACACCCCUUGCAUAUUUACAACACAUCACAAAGAGCCAUCUACACCCCACAGGUUAUGCCGAACCAUCUACAAGACCGCAGUAGCAUGACAAUGAUAGCAGUUUCAAUAAAUCUAACCACAUUAUAAUCUUCGAUGAUACACAUACAAAUGACAUGCCUAAAUUGAAGGACAAAAUUGUCAUACCCCCUAAUAAAAAUUCAAUAAACCUAACCACGUUAUAGACACAUUAGGAUCUCGUCCUCUGUAGUGACAAGUGCAGCUCCAAUCCUGCCCUCCCCCGUCGCCCCCUCCAUGACGCAACUGCUGACAGCCUUACAACGGUGCCAUUGAGCACUGCGAUGUCAUGGUGGCGAUACCAACCCAAAUCUUCCCAACCAAAGAGCUUCAAAGAUUUUUUUUUUUAGAAAAAUCUUAUUCUCUAGAGUUCAUACAAAAUUACUGUAAACCAAAGGAGGCCUUAUGCUCUGAAAUGCGGUUACAUUGGACAUCCCUAUGAAAUCAUGCAUUCAGCGACUUUGGCAUUGGACAACCGAAAAACGGAUACUAUCAGAUCCGCCGAACUGUUUCCUGGCACUCCGCUGCAGUGCGGAAGGCGCGACAUAUAUUGAGACAAUGAAUCUUGAAAAAACAGACCCCAAAAAAAAAACUCGUAAGGUUCCGAGGCUCUGAGCGAAACGAAAAAAACUGCUGUCCUGAAAGGCGAUUGACGUAGCAAAAGAGUGGAUGUAUGCUGCCCUUGAGAGGGCCGGAGAAAAAUCGCUGCGAAAUAAGACCACACGUUAGCUCCCGGCCAAGCAGCUCCACCGGCAACGAGACGGCACAGAAGCAUACGGCCAACGCAUCAGCAACGAGCAACGCAACGAGACCGCACGGCCACAGCCCACAGGACACCGACGCCCCUCCAGAAUCCGGACGUACGCAACGCCGCCACAGUCCACACCGGCCGCUGCCGCACGCACGCACAGCUUCCUCAACUUGACGUCGUCCACCAGUGCCUGAGAACCGAAAGCUACGCUGCGAUAAAACUCCGCCACUCCUUCGCCGCUGCGCAGCCGGUUGCUUGGGAUGCGGACACAAGCGGCAUUGAUGCCUUUGAUGGGCUUGACGGGUGCGUGUGAUCUUGCCUUGUUUGGAGCCAUUCCGGGGCAUGGUUAGGUUCACCUGACGUCCAGGGAGAACGUAUCCUAUGCAACGCUCAACUCAUGCACCAGUUGCGCCAAUGGCCCAUGAGCCGUCGGAUUAAAAUGAAGGGACAAGACCUAUCUACUAUGUGGGCUGCUGGAACAUUGCAGAAAGGGCCUUGUAGUGUCUCUAAAUGAUUCCGACUUCCAAGUAAUCUGGACCGAUAGUAUCUUGUUUUCUUCUCGCCCUCUUGUGUACUGCUGGAACUUUGGGUUAGAAAAUUUUACCCAAACCUAGUCGUAUUCUCUUUCUCUCUGGAUUGUACUGAUAAUCUCUGCCUAUUGGAUCUCGAUUAGCUGUCGUACCAUCUGAAUCGGCCAUGCACACUCGAGUUCUUUUUACAGUCGGCCGGCGGCGGCUCAUUGAGAGUGUUUCAGUGUGGUCCAUAUGCAGGAGCUCUAAGAAUCGAGGCGUGUUCUCUUCUUCGUUUAUCAAUGUUAUGGACAUAUUUUCUUUCAUACUUCUGUCAUCCUUUGUUUUCCGUUUUGUUUUACUGAUAGAUAAGUAUGACCAAUGCUCCUCCAAAUUUAACGAUGUGCACAGUUAAGGCUUAUGGUCCAGCGCUCUCUCUAUCGAUGUGUAGUCUGGAUAUUGUAACAUAUUUUUGCAGCUCUUGCAUCCCAACCUUAAAAGCAGAAUGUAACUUGUAUCCCCCAUAAAAACAGUUCGAAUAGAAAUAAACAAAGGGAUCUGCUCUCUGAUCCUUGAUUUGUAAACAAAUGUAAAUAGAAAGUGUCAAACUGAACUUUGUGAAAUCCAAACUAGUUGUACAUUGUAGCGAUCCUCUAAAUUAAUACCCUUGUUGGGUCCUGGGUGCUGCUUGUUCUUAGCUUAGUCAUUUUGGUGCCUCCAGCUCAAGAAAACUCAUCAUGAGGACAUGAUGUUUGAACAACAGUGCUUAAUUAUGUCCCUGGCAGCUGUAUUAAAUCCGUAGAGAUGUACUCGUUGUAUAUGUGAAAUUUCAUAGGACCAACACUCUAUUUGAUUUUAUGCUUCUUCACCUGAACCACACAAUUUUGUUAGGUACAUAACAUUUUCAAGUUACUGAAGAGGAAUUUGAGGUUAGGAUUCUUUCCUUUGUGGUUUGAUUUCCUGUAACAUAUAUAUCAGCUUACAAAGAAUUAACAGAAAAGGAACAAUAAAAGCUUUAACCUGUUCCCGCAAGUGAGAACAGAUUCUUCUAAUCGACACUCAAACAUGAUUUUAGUAGUAAGAACCAUGAUCUGGUACAGAAAUCCGGACCAAAUAGUACUGAAUUUUCGGCACUAUAAAGAUAAAUGUUAUCCAAUCAGAUCACUUUUGUUUUAUCCUUUUCUUUUGAAUGUACAUCAGAAAAUAGGUGUUGUUUGUGUUUUUCAGGUCCUCUCCAAAUGUUCACUUGCAAGCUCAUCUUUAAACAAAAAUUGUUUGCUCUUCAAGGUAAUGUUCGACUUGCAUCCAUUUUCUCCUUUUUAGCAUUUUAAGAUAUCUAUUUCAACUUACUAGGAGUUGCAUGGUGAUCAAUCUAUCUGCGAAUGCUUCUGUAAAAAAGAUGUAGUGUAUGUGUAGAUAAACAGUUGCAGAUACAAAUGACGAUGUUAAACUAGAGAGCAAGAGCACAUUAGAUCUUUGUUUUAGGAGAUGAUAAUUAUGUAAUGUAAAACUAGGUUCUCCUUGUGAUUUUAUUACCUUGUACAUAAUUUCUUACUCCAUUUGUGUAUACGAGUAUAAUGUACAAAGAUAUAGAUAUACACGCAGCACAACGAGCAACCUUUGGACGAUUCCGGCUGUGGCAGCCGCUUGCAUGUGUUGUUGCUUCAAUGCCAAUGAACGGUCACCCAGGAGAGAAAAGGAGAGAGACAAAGAGAAAAAGUGUGAUAGGAAGGUAUGUGUCGACUAGUACAGGAGAGCUCGAGAGGGAGACUGAGAUGAGAACAUAUCUAGUGGAAACCAUACAUUCAGAGGAAACAUGGAAACCCAAACUUGUGCCGUUGGAUUGGAUGCGUACGCUGUGAGAUGGAAAGAGGUACAAUUUGCAAAUUGAACCCCAAAAGAAUCCUGUAACUUAGGUACAGAAACAUCCCAUGGCGGCUGAGCCGUCCCGUGCCUUUCCCCAUGGAGGUAUCAUCCCGAUUCGAAAGGAAAAAUCAUCCAGAUUCGAAAUUCUUUCGCUAGGGUUAGGAGACCUGUUGGGAGAUGAUGCUUCCCUCUGGCAGGAUCCCCUCGUUCCGUGCUGGGCUGGCGAGCGGCGAGCGGCGCGGUUAAUUCCUCUCCGGCGGUUGUGUCCGGCCAAGCGUGCGAGUCUCCGAGCGUUUCGGGCAGGGCCGGCGAGUGGCGUUCCGGGCAGGGCCAGCGAGCGGCGCUUCUGAUUCGUCUCCGGCCAACAGUGCCAGUCCUCCGAGCAUUCCCCAUCGAUGUCAUACUAGAUCUAAUCCCAAGGUAUGAGCAUCUGUAGUGUUCGUCUUCUGUGCUUUGGCCCGGUGCUCCGAGCAUUCCCCAUCGAUGUCAUACUGUCCAGAUUUUGGUCUUGUAGAAAUUGCGAGGUAUAAUUCAUUUGCUCAUAAUUAUUGUGUGGUACUGUUAUAGUACACAUCUAUGACUAUUCAUGUGUUGUUGGCUUGCUGCCUGGCGUGUGUGCUCUGUGUAACCAUGGCAUGCUCUACUGUCUAUGAAAAUUGUUAUUUAUCUAUAAACUGCUACCCCUACUGUCUAGAUGGAAUUUAGAUGAUGAUACGUAUCUGAAUUGAAAAUUGUGUCUAGAUGGAAGUUAUCAAAGAGAAAACUCGCGCUGUGUGUAGGGCUUGUAUGCGCUGCUGCAAAUUUUGUAGAUUAAUUAUUGUGUGUGGUGCUAGUAGUGUGAGUGACAGUGAGAGAAAAAUCCUUGAUUAAUGUAUGUGUUUGCCAUUGCUACUAGAUUAAUUAUUGGAGGACCAUAUUUUAAAUAAUUUAAAGUUCUUAAAAAACUCGAAAACAAUUAUACGUGAUCAUAUGGAUGUAUAUUGCAGUUGUGUAAAGUUUGGUGACGAAAUAAAUAAACAUGUGAGCUAUAGAAAAAUGACAAAAUGAUGAUUUUCAAAUAGUGAAUAAUGCACGCUCAGUUCAUCUUUCCAAAAAAAAAACGAUUUUGUCAUUUUUGUGUAACUCACAUGGUUACUUAUUUUAGUAUCAAAAUUUACACAUGUGUAAUAUACAUCCAUAUAACCAUGUUGACUUGUUUUCAGAACAUUUUGAAACUUCAAAAUAGAAUUUUGACACUAUUCCAAAUAUCGGGCUUCAAUGCACCCGUCCUCCAAAUUGACUUUUUGUUGUAUGCAUAAUUAUUUGUGUAGUAUGACGGGAAAUAAGAAAUGAGCUGGUUUGGAAAAUAAUUCUGUUCUUUUUUUGCUAAUAAAGAUGACAUGCACUACUGUAUCUAUUUGCAUAGAUUGUUGUUAAACUCGUUUUAAUGUAUUAUGUAUAAAAAAAGUUCAACUCUUAUUUUUCAGGUUUUCUGGUGGCAGUAAAGAUAUAUGCAGAUUUCAACAACAAAAAAGACUGUUGUUUGGAGUCGUAGUAGUGCACUGAUACGUCCUUCUGCGUGUGUACUCGAGUUGUGUGCUCAAUGUUUGAUGUAUAAGUGUGAGAUUUACUAUGGCUGUUCAGUUAGUGAUGUGUCUAUCUUGUAACAAAAUUCCCUAGCAUAAUGCGGUUGGAACAUUUGCCUUAACUAAUGUAUGUGUUGUUGAAGCGAUGCAUGCAUUACUGCAAGUGAAUUCUGAUACUAGUAGACUAUAUUAAAAUUAGCUUCCUUCAG